rnacentral:lncRNA from 1 species
UUUGUUUUUGUGUUUAUGAUGGAUGAAGUUUAAAACUUCUUGAUAUGGUUGAGGGUAAACCUCUUGGUAAAAUGAAGCCGAUGCUUCCAAGGAUAUCAUGUACAGUUUUUUAAUUGCCCUGCUGUAGUUAAUUCCCUUUCUUAUUCUCUUGUUAAUUCUCUUUCUUAUUUUUGCUCUGGUUUUAUCCCGUCAUAUACUCUCUCGAAAUAAGCUAUUCCCAGGAUGUCAUGCACUUUCUUAUUACAGUUCAGAAUUUGUAGCUUCUUGUCGUACUUAUUCCACCCAAGGAUAUCCCAUUCCAGUGAUAUCUCGAUGUUAUCCCGUAUAGGUACAUCCAGGCUUGGGUAUAUCCCAUUCUCUGAUUAUUCCGACUCAAGUUUUUUAUUUAAGUUAUAAGGUUUUGGUUUAGGGUUUUAAUUUUAAAGUUUGGAAUUUGAGAUUUUGGAGUUUGAGGUUUGGGAUUAGAGAGUUCAAAAUUUAAGGUUUAAAACUUAUGUAACACCACUAACCCAAUAAAUCAAAACAUUUCAUAUUUAAUUCUCAUUCAUCAUAUAGAAAUUCAUUCACAUACAUUCAUAUAAUAGCUUAUAGGAGCGGUUAAGGCCUAAAAUAAACAUUAAAAAUGAGUUGGGACUAAACCGAGUACUAAAAAAAUUUACGGAAAAACAUAAAAAAAUUUCACAAUACAGGGGACAUACGCCCGUGUGGCCAGGCCGUGUGGCACACAUGGCCAAUUGACACGCCCGUGUCGUAACUCGUGUAAGCAUUGGAUGUGAGGCACACAGCUAUGUCCCAGCCCGUGCUCAUGCCAAUCAAAGUGUGAUUGUUGCACACAUGGCCAAGUGACAUGCCUGUGUCGUAAGCCGUGUGAGCAUUGGAUGUGAGGCACACUGUGUCCUAGCCCGUGCUCAUGCCAGUCAAAGUGUGAUUGUGGCACACAUGGCCAAGUGACAUGCCCGUGUCGUAAGCUGUGUGGGCAUUGGAUGUGAGGCACACAGCUGUGUCCUAGCCCGUACUCAUGCCAGUCAAAGUGUGAUGGAAUUACUAGUGAUGGUGAACAAAGUGGUGUUGUUGUGGUACUUUGGGUUGCUACUUCUGCUGGGCUUGGUAGGUCUACUGCUGAUCCUCCAAGAUCUUUCAGCGCUUCCUCUAGUCCUUUGAUUUGAUUCUCAAUUAGUUGGCUUUCUUUCAACUUUUGGUCCAAAAUUGCUUUUAUUGCUUUUAUUGUUGCUGCCAUUCCCUCGUCAGUGUAUCCGGCUGUGUCCUGAAAUAAAAAUGGCUUUAAACAUGUAGCUCCUAAUUUUGAGUUGCCACCUGAUAAGCUUGCCUUGAUUACGGUUCCCCUUGAGUUAUAAUUGAGAAAUCCUGUAACAGAGCUUGAGUUUGUUCUGAGUAUAAACUCAAUCGUGAUCUACACAUCUUUAAAGUAUAACUUUUAACUUUUCUUGAUGUUCUUCUCUUGAUACUUUAAUAAAGAUUAUAAUAUCGUCUUUAUAAGCUAGACCUAUGUUUUCUAAUCCUUCUAAAUUUUUGUCCAUAAAUCUCUUAUAUAUACUAGGGGCUUGUUUUAGUCCAAAGGGUAAUACUAUAAAUUCAUAUUGUUUCUGAGGUGGACAACUAAAAGCUGUUAAUGGAAUUGUGUUUUCAUGAAGUGUUAGCUGCCAAUAUCCAGACUUAGCAUCUAAUGUACUAAACCAGUUACAGCCUUUUAAUUAUGCUAAAAUAUAAUCUUUUCUAGGAAGCUUAUAUAGGCGUCUCCUAUGGUAGCAUCAUUCAUUUUUUUUUUAUAAUUUAUGAAUAUUCUUCUUUUUCCUCGUUUUAUUUCAUUAUGGUUCUCUAUAUAGAAAGCUGUGUCUAUGUAGGCCAUUACUACUUUAUUGUGUAUCUUUACCUUAAUGUAUGUACUAUUCUUUCCUCUAGGGCAUGUUUCUUUAUUUGUUUAUCAGAUUCUGUAUUACUAUUUGUUUCCGAUUCUGUAUUACUAUUCGUUUCUAUUUCUAUUUUUUUAGAUAAUAAAGACAUUUUAAUGUAUUUUUUUGGUGAAAAAAGAGAAAUACAUCAACUACGUACGUAAACCAUCCAUUGUCUUUUUCUUCUUGUAGCAAAACACUUAUUUUGUCUGGAGCCUAAUUUGAAGGCUUGUUUUUCAGCUCAAACUGAGUUUGGCUAACCUAUCUGCAACCAAGUUUUGGGUUCUUGGAAUGUGUUUAAUGUAUUAUUAAACUUUCAUAAUCAUCUCUCCAUUCUUUCUUUUUAUCGUCUUCCUUUAUUACAAAUUCUUUUCCUUUAUCUUUGUUAUCCUUACUGUGUAUUAAUUCUUUAUUUCUAAAAAAUUCGUGUAAUUCUUUUAAGGUCAGACAUUUUUCUGUUGUUUUAUCUUUUUUCUUUUUGGUUUCUAUUUUACUUUUUUGUUUCAUUAAAAUCUUCCAGAAUUUCUUGGUGUUUUAUUAAUUUAUCUUCUCAGUACAUGACAUUGUUAUACCUAGGGAGGAUCCAAAAAUUCUUUCAGUGAGAAUCUUGGAAACCCUUUAGGUUUCCAGUCAAUAUACUGUAGAAUUUCAUGCUUUCCAUAUGAUAUGCAAACAUAAAAUAAAUAGUUGUACCCGAACCUGGAUUUUGUUCGUCGAUCACUUGUUGAUGAAGAUGAUGGUCUUUUAAGUUGACGUGAGGCCUUUGUUUUUGUGUUUAUGAUGGAUGAAGUUUAAAACUUCGUGGUAUGGUUAAGGGUAAACGUCUUGGUAAAAUGAAGCCGGAGCUUCCAAGGAUACAGACCUCCUUUUGGUCUCUUUUAUAAACUUUGAAAAUUCUCAGAAACUUUUUACUCUGCUUAUUUGAUAACUGGAUGCUACCUUAUAUAGGCAACUUAGAGGGGUAGAAAAGUAAAAUAAAAACCCUAAUAAUACAACCUAAUAAUUGCCCGUUAAGCACGCCUUAAAUUGAGGUCCUACAUGGUCCUUGGCCGACAGCCUGUUGUCCUUUCACGCGUUUUUCGCGCGUCUUCUUCUUUUAUGAUGUCAGAAAAGUCUUCUUUUGUUGAUUGCGUCAAUCUGAUUUUUUUAUCGGCAUUUCCCAUAUGAUUAGGGUCUCUUCGUGUUCUUUUGACAUUUGGUCCAUUUGAAGAGUAAAAUAUACAUACAUGAAAAGAAAACAUGUGACUUUUAAUUACUGUUUUUUCAAUAAAGUUUACAAUAACUGAAACGUACUUUGUAUAAACUCGACGGAUCCAAUUCAAUAAUUAUAAGAAUAUUUUCAGAAAUAUUUUUAAUUACUUGUUUUGCAGCAAUUUAAAUAAUGCAUAUAUAAUUAUUUCAAUAGUUUUCCACUUUUUAUAGAAAUGCCAAGUACUAUUUCGAAAAGUGAAAAGAUUAUAUCUUUUGAGGGAAUAAGAAAACACUACGUAGAAUAUCCCCAUCAUAUCCCAUAGUGGCAUAAGCUAUCCCGUUUCCGUUUUGAAUUCUAAGUGCAGAUUUUGAUAGUUUAGUGGCUGGUCUCCUGUCUCUCCACAAUCUCAGUCAAGGAAUUCUACACACAACAGGUACACAACCUUAUUCUAUUUUUACUUUUAUUUGUUACUUAUCAAUCAUUUUCCUACCUGUCAAGCACUGUAACAUAAAAUCCAAUAAACUGCCACCUACUUUUGUGGAAAUUAUUUCCUACUUGAUGCUUUCCUUUUUCUUGUUAUUGUCAAGGCAAAGGCAAUACUUUGAACAAAGGAAACAACAAGAAAAGACAACAGGUUAUGAGGGCCAUGCUGAUGAAACUAGCAUAGCUGGACGACAUCAAAAGGAAUGUCGAUCUCUGAAUAUCUGAUGGGCGUCGAAACCACCAAAUAUAAUUCUUACAAAAUAACUCUAAUUAGUAAUAGAGUGUUAGUAGGGUCGAGUCCACAAAGAUUGGAUGCGAUAAUCAACUUCCGUGUAUAGUUUAUGAUCAGAUUGUCUGUUGUGUCGAAGGUCGUGGCAAUAGUCGUGCCCACGACUCCAAUCGUACCCGCAAAAAUUAGAAAUAAAAGUAAAUCGGGGAUUUUUGAAAUGUUUAGAAACUAGAUAAUUGAAACAGUAUAAAUAAUUAAUUAAAUAAAUUAGAAAAUAAAUUCAGAAUUUUGCAACAGAUAAAAUAAGUCUUAGCCUUAGACUCGGUCAAUUCUGUGUUGAGAAUCGAUCCUUAAAAAUUAAUCUUCUCCUCCAAUCGAUAAGCUGGUUAUAGCAGUUAAAAACGUCCUUAACCAUCAAUUCUUCCUCUAGUAGCUGGUUUCAGUACGACCUACAAACUAACCCUUACCGAUUAUCUAACUGAGAUACACGUGUUCCUGAUUCAAGAUUUCGGCAGCCUUGCGUUCUGAAGAACCCAACUCGAAUUAACGGCCUCAACCGCAUGGGUCAUUUAAACUCGAUCACCUCUUCCUCGAUUUGUUCUCGAAAAUUCGAAUACAGCACAGCAGACUCGAAUUUCCAAUUGUAAGCAAACACGACUCCAACCCGAUGUGCACUUUGACUUGAAAUCGAAUUUAACUUUAAAGGAUGAUUGGACUAUCCCGAUACUUAGGAAAAAAAUGAAUACCGAUAGGACAGAUUUUUUUAACACGAAUUUGUAUGUCACGAUUCCCGACCGAAAAGAACGCUGGCCUAAAGCUAAGAUGAAAUUUAGUUAAGCAUGAAAUUGUUCAUGCUUUGUGAGCUUGGAAAGAAGAUUGAUGAUUAUGGUGAUGGAAAUUGGAAAGGAAAAACACUUAGAGAGGCAAUUAACCCAAUUUUAGAAAAGAAACAAAACCAAAUGAAAAUGGAAGAAUACUUAAUGCCAAUUUGAAAGGAAAAAUGAGAGUAUUUCUAUUCCAAAUAGAAGUAGGAAUAUCAAGUGAAUGCAUGAUUUUCUAAGAACUAAAAGCCCCUAUUUAUAUACAUGGCGUUUAUUAAAAAUAGCCUAACCUAAAUUAAUAAAAUAAAAUAAAAUAAAACAAAAUGAAAUCUUUUUAUUUUUAGCUUUUUACAAAGUCAAAAUAUAUAAUAAAUUCUUGGCUUUCUCUAUCCUUUUGAUUUGGCCCCGAUUCAAUGAUUUGUCUUUCAAUUUGGCCCCUUUUUACUUGUUUUUGACCAAUUGCAUCCCUGACAAAAUUAAAUCAUAAAAACACUAAUUAAGCAGAGAUUAAUUAAAAAUAAACCAAAUCAAACACAAGAAUCAUGUAAAUUAAUAUGCUCAUCAAUAUCCUCAGUAACUUUUUCUGCUGUCAGCAAGUGUUAUCCCAGCAGUAAGUGUCCUAAAUUUCUUUUGCCGGACAACUGAUUUAGGCAACCCAAAUAAGAUCGCUUGAAAUGUCAAGCUAAUAAUCACCUGCAUCUAUAACCUCCAUGCUCUGCACUUUUGCAACAGGAAUUUAGCAAUAUUUUUCUAUGUCUCUUGAAAUUAUCUUCAAUCUUAUUUUCAUGUCUGAGUCACCCGUUCAUUCUUUCAGUGGUAUGUUUUCAGUGCUUUAUUCGAUAUGUAGGUUUCUCUACUAAUGCAUCAUGUGCAAAUUUGAAAGGACAUGCUAAUGUGUUUUUACCAGGGAACUAUAUCUAUCUCAAUAUUCAUAGACAUAUGUAUAAGGGCCACUAUGUGCUAGUCAUAGGAAGUGCCUCACUAGAGAUCACUACUUUUUGAUACAUGGAUGGCGUGUUGCAUUUUAUGCCGUUGUUCAAAUUUUGACCAGCCUUGGUUUUUCUCCCUUGUAUUCUUUGUUUUUAACUAAGUAGGAAGUCAUUGUAAGUCUGGUCCUUCGACAAUUAAGUAUCAAAUGCCAGAGGAUCCAGCGAAGAUCAUUAUAAGUUCAGUACCCCCUUCUUAUUCUGUUAAAAUCAAGGAAGCAUGUAUCUGUUAAUAUCUCUGUGCAUAACUUUGUGAACUAGGGUGUAACUUCUCUGGAAUCCAUGGGUUUUCAGUGCAAAAUACCAUUUGCUGGUGCAGGUGCUCCACCAGCAAGCUAUCAAGGAGAGUUACAAUGCCCAAAGUAGGUGAAUACUUUAUGUCGCACUGAAAUCAUAUUUGUGUAACUAAAAAUAUCCUCUAUUACACAUAAACAUCAAAUCUCUUUUGAUUUAGGUAGUGCUAGGCAGAGAAACCUGCAAAAAUUUAAACAUAGCUACAAUUAUUUAUAUUAACAACUUGAUGUUAAUGUUCAAUAACUAUUGCGUCUGCUUUUACCAAAAAAAUAAAGAAAGCUUAAGCAAUGUAAUAUUUUGAGAAAAUAAUUGUACAUUGGCUAAAAUGAAGACUACUCUCUCAAAUCAUCAAGAACGCUUGCUGACAGUGUGAAAAGCUAAUGCUUGUUUUGCUGCGCAGGAUUUCAUUUAGCGAUCAUGAUAAUCAUGAUUUAAAUGCUUCCAAUGAUAGUUUGGAUCUCUGGAAUGCAGCCACUGAGAAUCGUAUGUUGUAAUGUUGGACUAUUGGUUAUAUACAAGAUCUCAACUAAUUUGGUUUACAAUUUCCAAAUGUCCUGACAGGAUUGUAGCUAGCCAAAAAAGUAUAUUAUUUUCUUAUUGCAGUAUGUAACUCCGGCAUACUAAUAGGAUUCUUUUUUCUUGAUGUUAUUAACUAAAUAUAUAGUUCUCUUCAAAUUUUCUUUCCAUCGUUUACUUUUCCAGAAUUAUCUGUUUUCGACAUGCUUAUUAAUGAUGAAUCAGAGGUGGGUUCUGAAAGAAGUCUGGUUCAUGAAGCUCAUGUUGCAUUUUCAGUUAAAGGUAUGAUACAUUAACAAUGGAGGGAGUCAUUAAGGCAGUAGGUCAUGCAGAAGGAUAAAGUAUCACAAAAUUCAUCAGCAGAUGAAUAUGGAUACCAAAUAUUUGCAAUCUUUGUAUACCAAAUCCAUUACUGAUCAUGCAACAUGCCUUAGAACCCGUGAAACACAAACUAAAAUUUCAAGUUAACUAGCAAUACAUAAACCUUCUGAAUUUCCAAAAUCAUUUUAUUUGAAUUCCAACAGAAAUAGACCAACUCAUGAAAUUUCUUUUGUUCAAACCUAACAAGGAUAGGUCUUCUUGGGAAAGGUUUUAAUUUAAAAAAUUGGGUUGAUUGAAAAUUUUGUGUAGAAAGCACAAGUAAAUAUAACAUAUUAUUACCUAUUAAGUCUUAACUUAAUUGGUAUAGACACUAUUGUCAGGAGAAUGUAGGUUCGAGUGAGUUGAAGCGCAUUAUUCUCCUAUUUAUGGGUUGAGAAAGACUAUGAAUAAUUUUAGACCUUGUUAUAAAAGUAUUUAGAAAAAUAUUAUAAAAUAAUAUAAAAAUAGUAUAAAAUUUAAAAAUUAUUAAAAAUUAAAAAUAAGCUAUAUAAAGUUAUUAAAAGUUAAAAGAAGUUUAUAAAAUAAAAAUUAUUGAAAAGUUACAAGAUUUAUAGGAGAAUUUUGUUACUUUGCUAGUUUGGAGUGUUUGCUUUUGGAAUAAGGAAAUGGGGGAAACUGAACUGUGAUGAUCAGACUUGUGUAGACUGUUGAGUGAGGGUUUGAAUGAUUAUGAGUUCAGUACUUGAUGGUUUAAGGUGAGUGAUGGGUACAUAUAUUUAUAAACUAAUCCAAUAAUCUAUUAAACAAUUAAAAAAUAUAUAGAAAAUAAGUUUAUAUUAACAUUUUAUAAUUAAAUUUAAAUAAAAAUAUUUUUAUUGUUUUUAAAAUAUUGAAACGAAAUUAUUUUGGCAAGUUAGGUCUAGUUGGGCUUGAGCCAAGAUAUUUUUUUGAAAUUUGAUCUAAGCUCAACUUGACCCAUUAACACUUCUAGUGAUAGGCAAUAUUUUAGUUGAGGAAGAAUGAUAAGAGAGAAGUUAAUAAGGAUCAGUUGAUGUAUGAUGUAGGAUAUUGUGUGAGAGAAAACAAAAAUGUGUAGUAUUUGAAUAAAUUUAACAAAUUUUAUAUAUUAUUCUAAAUUUUUUUAUAACAUUUAACAUUUUCUAUAUUUUUUAUAAUUAUUAAUAGAUUUUCUAUAUUUUUCUAUAAAGUUGUGUAAUAUUUUUCUAAAAUUUCUUAUAACAUUUAAAAAUUUUCUAUAAUUUUUAUAUUUUCAAUCAUUUUUAUAAUUAUUUAUAAAUCUCUAAUAUUUAUAUGAAUUUUAUAAUUUAUAUUUUAAAAAAUAUUUUUUACAACUUUAAUAUUUUUUACUUAAAUAAUCAAAUAAAGUAAUAAAAAUAAUCAAUUAAGCCCUCGUAAAAUAAAAAAAAAUCACUUAAGUUUGGAGUUCAGAGUAAGAGUUAUUGGUGAUGGUAAUUAUGAGUAAAGUCAGUGCCUAACACUCAACAAAGUUGACGAGGACUAAAGAGCAAAGUAAGAUGUAUAAUAAAAUUUAUUAUUUAUAAAUAAACCAAAGAAAAGGAAAAGUUUGAAUCUUAUUUUAGUCUUGUUUGUGGAUUUUUAAAAAAUAUUUUUUUAUAAAAGUAUUAUUUUAAAAAAUAAAUUUCAUGUUAGAAAAUAGGUAUCCAUUUAUUCAUAAUUUAGUAUGUAUUUGUAUAAAAUUUUAUGUAUUUUUAUCAAAAAAAAUAAACUUUUAAAUCAUUUUAGGGUUAAAGUGUAAAUUUACCAUUAUAUUAUAAGAGGGUAAUACACUUUAGCGCAUUUGAACUCAACUCCUUCUGUAUUGGCAACAAUGAUCAUGCUAACUGAGUUAAGACUAAAUCGACAAAUAAUUGUAAUUUUUAAUUAUAUUACUUAUUUAUUAUUUUUAACUAUUAAAAUAAAAUAUUUUUUCUUCAAAUUAAAACUUCAUCCGCAACAAUUAUUUUAGGAUUCAUUCUUUGAUAUAUACAUUUUUACCGAUUGAAAUGAUGAGAAUAUGUUGUUAUUAAAAAUAUAACAUUUUUCUUUAAUUACCAUAAAAUAAUAAACUUAAAAUCAAUUUAAUAAAAAAUUUAAAUAAAAAACAUCAACCAAAAUUUAAUACAUUAUAAAAAAAAAGUGAUUUCCAAAUUUCCUUUAAAAAUUGCCGACCCACCCUCAGUUCUUAUUUCUCCUCAAACAUCCCGCCGCUAAACUGCAGCAUCUUGACUAUUGGAUUCUAAACAAUCAGCAAAUCAAAUCAAAAUCAGGUAAUUUUUGAAACUCUGAUUUGUACUUGAGUCAUGAGAUUUUGGGUAAUGGCUAAGUUUUUGUUAUCUGUUCUCUGCAAUUUUUUUUUCUGUUUCCAGUCCUAUUUGUUGAAUGAUUAUUGAACUUUGUGGGUUUUCCUUGUUAUUUUACACUUAUUUUAAUCUGGGUUUUUCUUGUUUUAACUUAAGAUUUGCUUUUGAGUUAACCCUUUUGUUGGAACAACGUAAACAUUAAUAUUCGUAGCCUUUUCUGCACAUUGUAAUGUUAUGCACUUAUUUAUCUUUCUUCUGGAAUUGGUAGCUAUGGCUGCAAAUAUGUUUGUGGUUCCUCAGACAAAAGGCACUGUCUUGUGUUGCAAAUGUGGUAUUUUGAUGGCUCUGAAUCCUGCCAAUAUGUGUGUGACCUGUUUGAGGUCUGAAGUUGACAUCACGGAAGGUUUACGAAAACAUGCCACUAUUAUGCAUUGUCCUGAGUGUGAUAGCUACUUGCAGCCCCCUAGAACUUGGUUAAAAGCUCAGCUCGAAUCGAAGGAGUUAUUAACGUAUUGUGUGAAACGACUCGAGACCGAUUUGAAAAAAGUUAGGCUAGUAAAUGCCGAGUUUAUUUGGACCGAACCCCAUUCUAAGAGAAUCAAGGUCAAGCUGAAAGUUCAAAAAGAGGUUCUUAACGGAGCGAUUCUAGAGCAAUCUUAUGUUGUUCAGUAUGUUUUGCAAGAUCACAUGUGCGAAUCUUGUACAAGGUUUCAAGCAAACCCGGAUCAAUGGGUGGCUUCCGUGCAGCUGAGACAACGAGUUUCACACAGACGCACUUUCUUUUAUCUCGAGCAGCUCAUCCUAAAGCACGAUGCUGCAGUCCAUGCUAUCAAAAUCAAGCAGAUGGAUCAGGGUAUAAGAGUCAUGCUUUGAAAUUCGUGGAGUUUUUGGAUAAAGUUGCUCCAACAAACCGUAGAGAGAGCAAACAGCUUGUUUCUCACGACCCUAAGAAUAAUAGCUACAAUUAUAAGUAUACUUUCUCUGUUGAAAUAUCCCCGAUUUGCCGUGAGGAUUUGAUUUGUUUGCCUCCUAGACUUGCUGUUAGUUUGGGGAAUCUCGGACCGCUCGUGAUCUGCACGAAAGUAACAAACAACAUUGCAUUGCUCGAUCCACUUACUCAAAGGCAAUGUUUCUUGGACCCUGACCAGUAUUGGAGGUAUUCCUUUAAGUCUCUACUCGGUAGCAGGCAGUUGGUUGAAUAUGAUGUCUUUAAUGUGGAAGUUGUUUCUCCAGAAUUUAACGUCGGGGGCUCUAAAUACGUCAUGGCCGAUGUUGAGGUGGCUCGUGUCACUGAUUACGGUAAGUUGUUCUAUGUAAGAACUCAUCUGGGCCAUAUAUUAAAACCUGGAGAUCAUGCUCUCGGUUAUGACCUAUAUGGUGCCAACAAUAACGAUAAUGAGCUAGACAAGUAUCAGAAUCUUGUAAUUCCCGAAGUGAUUUUGUUAAAGAAGAGCUACGAAGAGAAACGCCAGAAGAAGCGUGGGAAGCCUCGUCCUUGGAAGCUUAAGUCUCUUGAUAUGGAACUCGAUGAAUCCAAAGGUAGAGGAUACGAAGAAAAGAUGAACACGGAAUACGAAGAGUUCUUAAGAGAUUUAGAAGAGAACCCUGAAUUACGGUUCAACUUAUCGCUGUACCGCAACAAAGAUUACCAACCAUCGGAAAUGGCAUCUAUGUCAGAUGGCGAUGAUGUGCCUUCAGUUCCAUUGGAAGAGUUGCUUGCUGAUCUCGAGUUGAGCGAUAAGGAAGAUGGUGACGAUAGCAUGAAAGACUAAUGAUCAAAGUCGCAGUUUUCUAUAAUUGAUUAAUUUUCUUGUGAGUUUUGCUUGAAAAUGGUGUUUUGAGUUAUUUGCUUUUAUGCCCUUUGUUUCUAAAGCGAAUAAAGUUUUGUUGCUGCCCUGUUAAACUGGGAAGCUUUUGGUUGCUUUCAUGGAGUCCUUUGAGUGAAGACUAAUCUCGCUUUUGCUCUCACUGCUCAAGUUAGAAAUAUCUAUUACAAUUACUUAGAUUAUUUUACUUAGAUUAUUUUCUUAAAUCCAUAGAUUUUCUAAAACCCUAAUUAUUAAUUUUUGGGUUCGACGGAUUCACAUUAUUAAACCUUUGUCCAAAAUAUAUGUAUUUUAUUCUUGAAGGAUCAAACUAAAAGAGUUUCCAUUAUACUUCUACCUUUAAUCAUCUCACCACCAGUAAUGAAAGCUUUCCAUGGCCGAGCUUUACAAGCUAGUCCAAUGUUAGACUUACGCCUAUACCUGUUACCAAGUUCUAUACAAGUAAAAAUUGUCCUCAACAUGGAAAAGGUACAAACCCUUAUUUUACUUUAUUAGCAAAUUCCAUGAAAAAACAAAGAGAGCCUCUAAAAAAAAUUUAUGGGGCAAAUCAAAGGUACUUCACCUCAAUUAAACAAGGAAUGACUAAAAACAGUUAUCACAUUUUUUUCACUUAAUUCUUUUUUUAAAUGAAAAACCAUUGACAUGAAAGGUAAGAUGGCAACACCAUGAAUGUCAAUAACAGACUAAAACUUCAAAACUCUUUUCAAGUCUACCAUACCCUUACCAAAAUGAGCUCCUCUUUUUUUUUUUUAAGCUCUCAAGGCUUGAGUGCCAAAGCAAGUCCGACCUUGGGGCUCUUAUCGAUGGACUUGGUAUCCACCUCUCCAGAAAUGGUAAAGAGCGAUUUCGGGCGCCACUCGUGCUGGAUGAGUGCACUUGCCUUGCCAGCAUUGUUCACCCGUGCCUUGAUUGUGGUUAAUGGAUCCAAUGCAUGUUGUGUACCCACGGUGAUGGUGUUCACAUUGGUAGAGAAGCUAUGAGUCACCUCAGCACCAACAGCAGUGUUGGUUGAUGGAUUCACAAUAUGGUAGUAAGAUGCGUUAACUGAAUCACCCUUUUCAUUCCUGCAUCGACAAACAAGAUAUUAAACUUGAGAUUAUAUCAUUUGGAAUGUUCAGCUGUAGAUAGGUAUAUAGAACAUAACCACAUACAGAGCCAAAGAAGCAAUGAGGUCUGCAUUGGUGAAGCUGAAUCCCGCGUUGCAUUUGGUGAAAUUCCCAGUCUUUGUGUCGAAUGAGAUAUCGGUACCUAGUGCAAGAACAUUUGUUCCAAGCACACCCGAAAAGUUAACUAUCGGGUUGGCAGUCAAUCCAAUGCUUGAGCUUAUCCCAGCAUACUCAUGCAAAUACUGGAGUUCAAUCUGGUAUACACAAAAGCGAAAAAACAGACAUGUCCAACAGCAUCUCAAAACACAUUCUAAGUAACACGUUCUUGAGCCAAAAGCCAAAACAAGAAGGAAGUUUCAAAGGAUACAAAUUGAAAUCUGAAGACAGAAUUUUGUACCUUGCCAGACCUCUGAUCAGGGACUCUGAAGCCAAAGAUUGCCUUUAGCCCGGGUGCAGGUUCAUCAACUGUUAUGGUGGUAAAUAGCUGAUAAACAUAAAUUACUUUAGUACAACAAACAAUUUUCAAAAAGGCUUACAAAAGAUGGAAAACAUAUAUAUCAACAACAAAGGAAUAUAAGAAGGUAAAAAAGGAACUACGAACUAAACCAAAGAGAUCCUUCAAUUGAAAAGCAUUUCGGCCAAAUAGGUCAGGUCCCAAGCAGUAUGAUGUUCUAAACAAUGUUAUCAAGCAGCUACUCUCCUAGUUAAAGCUUGGGUUUCAAACAUAGAGGGGACAAGACAUGAUUACUAAUUUUAUUAUAAUAGAAGUCAGAUGAAGGCCGAAGAAUAUAUAAUGGAGUAAAGAGCAUCAUAUCUAACUUGCAAAAGAGAAAUUUCAACCAAUAAUUCAAACUUAUAGAUAAAACUAGAAGUACUUGCAUUGGAGCUGGUGUCCACUUUGAUAUCAGUUGUAACAUUCCUAGACUUCAGUUGGGUAUUAACAUCAGCCAAGAAAAGAUCACCUUUCUUCGUUCCAGUAGAGGUAAUUGCCUGAAAAUAAAGGGAAAAACAACAAAACAAGGCCAAAUUAGUUCAAGUUCUCAUAGCAGAUUGAGAAAUCGAACAUCUUUGAUGAUACAUUGCAGUUAAAAGAUUGAGAUAACCAUGAUGAAAUUCAAGAAAAAUAGCUGCUAUUAUACUUCAAAAAUUGAAUACACACAUACAUAUGUUUGGAAAGCAUACACUUUACCUUUAAUUUCAGCUUAAAUUAAACAUCCUUUUUUGUAAUUAACAUAAUUUUAUUCUUAAAAAACUAAACAAAAAAAUCUAAAAAAAUGUAAACAGAAACAGCAUUUAGGUUCACUGGAACAAAGAACACAUGCAUUUUAUAUAAAAUUAAAUAUGAAAAAAAUCACAACUUGAGUUCAAAUGAAUUCUUCAAUAAUGACUAAAGAAAACAUAAUCUAGAGAAAAAAAAAUUAAACAAACCCAGAAAAUAAGAACCAAACUUACAACACCAGUGGGAGAGCUAGUGGUCAAAGUGAACUUUUGGUCAGUCUGAUAAUCCUUGUAAAGAAGAUCUAUAAAAUCCCAAAAAUUGAAAAAUUAGACAUAAAUAUUACAGGUUUAAAGCUUUCUUGUUUUAAAAAAAAUUUAUACCUCUGGCUUUCUUGCCGAUUUCAGUGUAGAGACCAGGACCCUUGCCCAUGAUAUUUUGCUUGGAAUUUCAGUGAUAAAGAAAGGAAAAAGAAAUGAAGCUCAAAACCACAGAGGUGGAUAAAAUAAAUAGGAGAAUCCAAAAACCCUAACUUUCACCAUCCAUUUCGGGGAUUGGGGGUUUCUGGUUUAAAAAAAAUAUUAUUUUAUCAAUGAAAAAUGUGGACCGUUGGAUGGUAGAGGUGGGUUGGUUUCUCGCUGCUUUCACCGUUGAUCCCUUUUUCAAAGUCUUUAUGUUAGUAUUAAAUAUUUUAUUUUUGGUUAUUUUUUAAUUUAUUAUUAUGUUAUUUUUUUAUAGAAGGUACAAUUUCUCAAUAAUUCAUAAAUGGGAUAAUAAUAUAUUUUAGUGUAUUUAAAUUUAUGUUUUUUUGUAUUAAUAACAAUUUACAGACCAAUUGAGUUAAAGACUCAAUAUAUGUUGGUUUUAAUAUAGAAAUAAAAAUAUUUUUUCCAUUUAAAAAAGUAAAAGUAUUUUAAAAAUUUUAAUUUAAUUUGUAUUUAAUAUGUGAUUUUAAUGAGAAUAAUUUAUUAAAUAAAAUAUUUUCAAAUUUAAAUAAAAUAAAACUUAAAUUAUUUAUAUACAUACUUAAAAAAAAUAUUUUCUACAUGUUAUUGUGUUUGUUUCAUGAAAAAUAUUUAUCAGUUAAUAGAAAAUAAAUCUUUUUUCUUGUAAAAUAACUUAUUGUUUACAUAAAUUAUUUUUUAAAAAUUAAGUCAUUUAUAAAUAAUAUUAUUUUUAUAUAAAAAUUAACUUCAAUUAAACCUAAUUUUUUUAUAUUGAUAAUAAUUUUUUAAUUUUAAUUAUAAAAAUUAAACAUAUAUUUUUAAUCAUCUGUAUUUAAUAAUAUAAUUUAUUUAUUGUAAUAAACUAUUCAAUAUUUUAAUUUUAUUUUAAUAAUAAAUGUUAAAUAAUAUUCUUUGUGAAAAAUAUUUAUAUAUAUUACAAGUAUAAAUAUAUUAAUAAUAAUUGUUUUAUAAUAUAAAGGUUAAAUUAUGUCAUAAGUUCAUGUACUCUUUAUAAAUUUAGAAUUUAGUCCAUUUAGUUUUAUUUUUGAGAAUUUAGUCAUUCUACUUUUUAGAUUUCAAAAAUUCAAAUUCAAUUGUUAAUAUUGUUAAAUUUAUUUUGUUAAUUUCGUUGAUGUGAUAUUUUUAAAUAAAAAUACUCGCUUGGUAGCCAUGUAACUAAAAAAUGACGUUGUAAUGAACUUGAAUUUAACAAAAUAAUUUUAAUAGUGUUAACAAGUAGAUCUGAAUUUUGAAAUCUAAAAAGUAGGAUGACUAAAUUCCCAAAAAUAAAAUUAUAGGGACUAAAUUCUAAAUUUACGAAGAGUAUAGGAACUUAUGACAUAUUUUAACAUAGUAUAGAAUAUGAAUAUUUCUUUAAAUCACGUUUAGCUUCAUUUAUUCUUUCCUACUUUAAUGCGUCAAUAUAUACUUAAUGCGUCAAUAGGUACUUUCAUAUAUAUAAUUAUGUAAUUUAAAUCAAGUUUUAAUUAGGUAUUAUUUAUUAUUAAGUUUAUAUAUGAUACUAAUUAUUAUAAAAUAUUUUUUGAUUAUCAAAAGAAAUAUUUUGUAACAAAUAUAUUUAUGUCGUAUUGGUUUUAGUAAGAACAACUUUUUAGAAAAUGACUUUAGGGAAAUUUGUCAAACAAUGGAAAAUAUUUUACAAAUAAAUAUCCAAAUACAAAAAAUUAUCAGCUUUUUCAGAAAAUCAAUUUAUUUUCCAAAGCCUUAAAUAUUCUUUUGAAACUUUUAAUUACUCUUUUAAUUUUUAUAUUGAUGUUAAAAUGCGUGUAAUUUUUACAAGAAAGUAGAUAAGAGCUCUUUAACAUUAAAAUCUAGGGUUUUAUAAGUAAAAUUAUAGGUUAGGGGCUACAAAAAUAAUUUAAGGGCUUGUUUAAAUAAAGUAGUAGUUUAAGAGUUUUUUUAGUAUAUUACCCUUUAAUAUUUAAGGUAAAUUGUAUUAGUAGUCACUCAAUUAUGAAAAACUACAAAAAUUAUCACCUAACUUUUUAAUUUUAUCUUUUCUAGGCAUUCAUGGUAUUUUUAUGUACACGUGUCCAACUGUAAUCCUCCCUAAAUAGUAUAGAUAUUUAAAUAUUUUAUAAUUAAACUUAAAUUUGAAAUAAAAGAAAAUUUAUUAUCAAAUGAUAAUUGGAAUCCAAAUAAAUCAUUUUCAUAUACCAAAGAGAGUUGCAGAAAAAAACAGUGGAGUGACACAUAUGGUUAAUAGUUGAACAGUUAAGGACCAAGUAUUAAGUUUAUGCUUCAUUUAAUCUUUUUUCCUAGCUAAAUAAAUCCAGAGGGAAUUUCUUGUAAUAUCCCCAUAAACUAUAAUUAAAUAAUAAUUCAAAUUGAAUAUUUUUGGUGUUUGAUUCCAUAGGGAACUCAGUCAAUUACAGCUUCCUAGUGGCUACCAUGAAAGAAGGUACCCAUUGUCAGCCAUAAGAUAUUGAAUUACACUGCGUGUUUUGUACUUGAUAGGUUGAUUAACAGCUUAUGUCAUCUUUUAACUCUUUCAUACAAAUCAAAAUGCUCAAUGGAAUUUCCGGUCUAUUUCUUGUAAAUAUAGCUCAUCUCCUUUGUUCUUCCUUUUUAACUUUUUUCACAUACGUAUUCUCCAUAUCCGUAAAAGUUUUAAUGGAGGCUUUUUAUUGUAUUAAGAGUUAAAUUUUAUUUUAAUUUUAUUAAAAAAAUGGGUUUAAGUAUUUGGUCAAUAACAUCAAUUUUAACGAUAAAAAUAAAUAAAAUUUAUUCUUUAAUCUAAUAUAUAGACAUUAAUUUAUUCAAUUUUUGAAUAAAGACGAUAAAAUGUAAUGUAAUCUAAUAAAAACUUUUAACUUUUGUGUAGGGACGAAGCCAGCAGGGGGUUGGCAUGGCCCGACUCCCUUAAAAUUUUUAAAAUAUUUUAAAUUAAUAAAGGUAAAAUUAUACUUUGACCCCUUUAAAAUUAUAAAAAUUCGAUUUAAUCUUUUACAAAUUAUAAAAAUAUAAACUAUAAAAAAUUAAAAUUUCAUCCAACCCCUCUGAAAAAUUUUUCAAGCUUUGCCCCUGCUUUUGUGUAUAUUAUAUAUGGGUUGGCAUUGACAAACAAAGUAGGGACAUCUAAAAUUCGUCAAGACAUUGCAAAUUUGUCUUAAUUUGUUCAUAGUGAUCAUCAUUACACUUGUUUUGGAUUAAGGAAAUAUUUUCAACAACGAUAACGAAACAUAACAAUUCCAAAUUUCAUAAAUCACAUUAUAUAUAUAUAUACAUCAACUCUUUACACUCUAUAGAGAUCAAGCAGCCAUUGAAAGGAAAAAAAGUGAAGCUACAAAACAGAUAAAAAGAAGAAAAGAAUAUCAAGGUGACAAGAGAUGGAAAUGAUGAUGGUUAACAAAGCACAAUGCCUAGGAAGCCACCUUCGCCGGUUGUGCUCAGUUGUCGAUGAUGAGGUUCAAGCCGUAAGGUGUGUGAAGAGACGGCGAAGAACUCCAGGUUCGGUUGCGGUCGGAUUUGAUGGGAAUCAAGGACUGGUUCAAGUUCGACCCCAGCAACAAAAUGAUCAAGGACCCAUUGCUGCUACUACUGUGAAAAGAAGUUCAAGGUUUCGAGGUGUCAGCAGGUACGAACUAGGCCUUUCUAAAGUCGAAACCGUAAAAUAACGAUCGUAACAUUACGUUUUUAAGGUUGUUUGACUGUAACUAAUAAUGGAAAAUUAUAGACAUAGAUGGACUGGACGGUAUGAAGCUCACUUGUGGGAUAAACUCUCUUGGAAUGUUACACAGAAGAAGAAAGGGAAACAAGGUAAUCUUUUUUCUUUCUUUGUUUUGGUUUUAGGGUUUGGGGUAUUAUCGUUCUGGUUUAUCGAUGCUUAUGUAUUGUUGUAUGAUUUUAUGUUCUUCCAUUGGUUCCUGCUGUGGAUUUCGCUCUUGGGGAUCCUGCAGUUUAUCUUGGUGAGUGCAUACAAGUUACACUUUUUUCUAAAACAAAAACUACUCUCAUCUUAUAGAGAAAUGAAUCAUUUUUACUAAAUUUUCAGGAGCUUAUGAUGACGAAGAAGCUGCUGCAAGAGCAUAUGAUUUAGCUGCACUUAAGUAUUGGGGAACAUCGACUUUCACUAAUUUCUCGGUAAUUCGUGUUUUUUAUUAAGAAAAAGUUGCAUAUAUGAAGAUUGCUUAUACCCGAAUUUAUAAGUUUGAAUAUAUAUUAAAGAAAUGAUGUAAUAACUCCCUUUGAUGAUUCCUGCAGAUAUCAGAUUAUGAAAAAGAGAUUGAAAUAAUGCAAACAGUGACAAAAGAAGAAUACUUGGCCUCAUUAAGAAGGUAAAACUCUAUAUAUCAAAUCAAAAAUUCAUAUAUACUUAAACUGAAUUCUAAAAAUAAAAAAUGUGACUUCCAACUUCUUUGUUUUCAGAAGGAGCAGUGGGUUUUCAAGAGGUGUGUCCAAGUAUAGGGGAGUUGCGAGGUACAGAUAUAAGUGUUGGAUUACAUGCAUGUGCAACUAAGAGGGCACUUAGGCAAUGUUGACUUAAGUCUCGUGUCUCAGCUCGUGAGACAAGAACAUAUGAAAAUUUUAUGCAAAUGCACAAAUGAAGUAAAGAUUUUUCUUUUGAUGAAUAAUCAUGCAGGCACCAUCACAAUGGGAGAUGGGAAGCAAGAAUAGGGAGAGUCUUUGGAAACAAAUAUCUCUACCUAGGCACUUACAGUAAGUUUAUAUAUCUAUGUUGCUUUGAAGCAUUUGUGUCCAAUAUCCGUAUUCUUACACUCAUGUCCGAGUGCUUAUGAUAUUGCAGGCACCCAAGAGGAAGCAGCUCGGGCUUAUGAUAUAGCAGCAAUUGAAUAUAGAGGGAUAAAUGCAGUGACCAACUUCGAUUUGAGCACAUAUUUCAGAUGGUUAAAACCAGGAACAAUGGUAGAGCCUGAAUCUAAGCCUUCAUUUCACCAUUCUUUACCAACAGAUUACUUGAAGUCUCCAGAAAAACAGGAAGUUUUCAAAACCAAAACCCCAUCGUCAUCGUCGUCAUCGCCUACAGCACUAGAUCUUCUCUUUCGAUCAUCGAUAUUCCGAGAACUGGUAAAAAAGAACUCAAACGUGUCGUCCGAAGACGGAAGCAGUGUUACAGAUGGGGAUGAUGAAUCAAAGAACCAACAAGGAGGAAAUGGUGUUGAUGCUGAUGAUGAGUUUAGUAGGCUGUUUUAUGAUGGCAUUGGUGAUUUUCCAUUUAUGUGCUCUUCUACCAAAAGUAGCAUUGAAUUGAAACAUAUGUAAUUCCUUCCAUUUUAGUUACUUUUGUAAAUAAAUUAGAUGUAAAAUGUACAAUUUGCUGUAAAAAUUGAGUAUUUUCCGUUUCUUUUUUUUUUUUUAAUGUUGGUACAUAGUGUAGCAUAGGUUUAGGUGGAAAUUGUAAGAGGAAUUUGGGAUCAUGUAAUCUCCCCCUUUUGUGAAUAUAAUAAUGUUAAAUUUAGUUGAUAUCUUUUAUUAAUUUAAUUUUUUAGUUAAAUUUCACUCUUAUUAAUAUUUCAAAUAAUGUCAAAUUAUUUUAUUUUUAAUGAAAAUAUUAACUAAAAUAUUAAUUGUUUCAAUAAUAUUAAUGUGACAAUCUGUUUAAUCAUUUAUGUGUACUUUAUACUAAUAUAAACACUAUUUACCUUAUAUGCCACACUAAUAAAUAAUUUUAAAAAUUAUAAAAAAAUUAUAAAAAUUUCAUAAAAAUUAACAUGAAGCUAACUCUUUUUAAAAAAUUAUAGUCAAGUUUAACUAAAAAAUUAAACAUAAAAAAUGUAAUCUUUGAGAGCUAAAUCUGACAUCCCAAAAUUUUGGAGGACUAUAUAGCAAUUUCACAAAAAUAUAGACAGAAACAAAACACUUGGAACAACGCAGAUCUCAUCUAAACUCUCGUAUCCAUACUUCCUUCCCUUCCCACAAAUCCCCUCAAAGAAACAUAAUUCUCCGCAAUUUCCCAAAUCUGCAUCUUUAGGGUUCUGUUUUUAACUUUCAAUUCCCAAACUCAGAUCUUAAUUUGUUCAAAUAAGUCAAAAAAGGUGCAAAAUGUACGGAUUCGAAGCUAUGACAUUUAACAUCCACGGCGGUUACUUGGAAGCGAUCGUGAGAGGUCACAGGGCCGGACUCUUAACCGCCGCCGAUUACAACAAUCUUUGCCAAUGCGAAACCCUUGAUGAUAUCAAGAUGCAUCUCUCCGCCACCGAGUACGGCCCUUAUCUCCAAAACGGUAAGUCUCUUUCAUGAUCUUCAAUUUAAUUGCUUUUUUCAAUUUCAAAUCUGCUAAGGUAAUUCCUUGAUUUUGGUGUGAAUUGAGCCGAAAUUGCUAUUUACUACAACUUCAUGCUGUUAAUUCAAGGUAUAUCUGAUUAAUAUAAUGAAUUAUGGGAUCUCAUUUUAAUUUUAUUAUAUGCUUUGCAGAACCCUCACCAUUGCAUACGACUACAAUUGUAGAGAAAUGCACUCUUAAACUUGUUGAUGAGUAUAAGCAUAUGUUAUGCCAAGCUACGGAGCCAUUGUCCACCUUCUUAGAAUAUAUCACGUAUGUAAAGAUUCUUUCUGUGAAUUGCUUGUGACAUAUUGAAUUAUCCUUCUCUUAGACAAUGGUAAUUGAUUUAUUUCACAUCUAAUGAUCUGGGUUUCAUUUAAUUGAAUAUUAGCAGUGCUGAGCUUGUUCAGUAUCAUCUACGGGUGAUUUUUUAUAUGGUGGUGUGAAUUGUUGGUUAACUAUUUAGCUUAUUAGAAGUUUUUUUUUUUUUGGGGGGGGGGGGAACAUUGUAGGGUUGCUGACUUCGGUUGGGCUUUCUUGAGUUCUCAGUGAUCUAAGGAAAGAUGUCUGUUAAGAUGGUGCAAAUAUGAAGAUUGAUUAAUAGGUUUUUGUUGAUUUAGUGGCAUCCCAAGAAAAACUAACUUUUAUUAUUAUUCCAUAUAGAUAUGGUCACAUGAUAGACAAUGUUGUCUUGAUUGUUACUGGAACCUUGCAUGAGAGAGAUGUUCAAGAGCUCUUGGAGAAGUGCCAUCCUUUGGGCAUGUUUGACAGGUAAUUUAUCCUCUUGAUUAAGAUCAGGUUAUUAUCUAACCUCACCUGAUAUGUAUGCUAACUUUUCUGUUUUGCUGCUUCAGUAUCGCAACCCUGGCAGUUGCUCAGAACAUGCGCGAACUCUACAGAUUGGUUCUUGUUGACACUCCUCUGGCUCCAUACUUCUCUGAGUGUAUUACCUCUGAGGUACAUGCUUCUAACAACUUUCCUGAUUAUCUGUGUAUAAGCACACAUGUCCUAUUGUUAGUAGCUGUGUUGGGGUGUUGAUUGUGUUGAACGAUGUAAUAUUUGAACCUUUUAUUUUGGCUUCAUGUAUCUUGGACUUUCUCCAGGAUCUUGAUGACAUGAACAUUGAAAUCAUGAGGAACACUCUCUACAAAGCAUACCUUGAAGACUUCUACAAGUUUUGCCAAGUAAGCUUUUAAUACAGAAGAAAGACGGCAUUUCUUUUUGCAUAUGGAUUAUGCUACUUGUUUUCAUUUCCCUACUUGUUAAGUUAAACAUUCCUUUUUCAUAUAGAAACUUGGUGGUGCGACAGCAGAGAUCAUGUCUGACCUCCUUGCCUUUGAGGCUGACAGAAGGGCUGUAAAUAUCACCAUUAACAGGUACUAUUAAUUAUGUGAAAGGUUUACUUCAUAUAGUUUUCUAGUUUUACUCUAUGUACUUUCUUACCAUGUAUUUUCUAAUAAACAUGUUUGGUGUGGUUUACUUUCUGCAGCAUUGGCACUGAACUUACGCGUGAUGAUCGGAGGAAAUUAUACUCGAAUUUUGGUCUGCUGUAAGCUCAUUCUCUCUGGCCUGACUAUACGCCUUUAUUUUGGGUGUUAGGUUUGUUUGAGUUUUAUAUCUGAAAUGCUACUUCGUGUUAAACAGUUAUCCCUAUGGCCAUGAGGAACUUGCUGUGUGUGAGGAUAUUGACCAGGUUUGUUUCACAUAUUAUUCAUAGAUGAAGCUACUUCGAGUUCUUAUUCUUUUGCUUCGUUUGUUGUCUAGGUCCGUGCUGCGAUGGAAAAAUAUCCUCCCUACCAAUCAAUUUUCUCCAGACUAUCUUACGGAGAGAGCCAGAUGCUUGACAAGGCAUUUUACGAGGAGGAAGUGAAAAGGCUUUGCCUAGCUUUUGAGCAACAGGUUUAUAUUUUAUUUCUCAGGCAUCAAAUUAUCUUUGUUAAUAGCAACAAUCAAAGAAAAGCACAACUGCGGCAUAUGAUUGAUUUUAUUUCUUUAUAUUUCCUAUUUUCUUCAUCAAAUAAAUAAUGCAUCAAAUUUCACCUGCAGUUCCAUUAUGGUGUUUUCUUUGCAUACAUGAGAUUAAGAGAGCAAGAGAUCAGGAAUCUGAUGUGGAUCUCUGAAUGUGUGGCUCAAAACCAAAAGUCUAGGGUUCAUGACAGUGUGGUCUUCAUAUUUUAGAUGAUGGAGGAUUGGGUAGGAAUAAUUAAUCGGGUUGAAUCAGCUGUAAAUUUUCGUUUCUCUUCUUAAUUUAUCAACAUCCCAUAUUAUAAUUGGAGUGGUUUAGCUGCUCUGUUUCUAAGCAUUGUGUUGUUAAAGAAUAAAUGCCAUAUGAUUAUUAUAUAUAUGUUUGAUAUGGUUUUUUGGGGGUAAAAUGUUGUAUUCAGAUUGAUUAAAAUGUAUUGUUGUCUUGAAUUUGAGGUUGUUUUCAAUGAUUUAAUGAUGAAGUUUCUAGGAAAUUUCAUGUUCUGGUAUGUAUGUAUGGUUUGAGUUAGAGUUGAUGGUUACUUAUUAUAGAAGGAUGGGAUGACUGAUGUGGUUGGGUGGGCCCUGGAAAUGAAAUAUAAUGUUUUGCCUUAAAUUUUCUUUUAAUUUUUUUAACAAUGCUAGCAUGACAUGACAAUUUGUGUGGCUCUCUCUCUAUAUUUUAUGCUGAUAUAAUAUUAUUUGUUCGUCGACAAAUAAUUUAAAAAUUAUAAAAAUAUUUAAAAUAUUUAAAAAUAAAAUUAGCAUGAUAUAUACGUUGAUUAUAAUGCGGACUGUCAUGUUUAAAAUUUAACAUUUUAAUCAAUGUUUUCUUCAACAAUUCGAUUAUUUUUGAAUGGUGAAUGAUCAAAUUCAAUUCUUAUUAAAAAUUUGAGGAUCAAAUUUAGUUUAAAAAAUGAAGAAGCUAAAUUGAUAAAAAUGUGUAAAUAUUAAAGGCUAAAUUUGUUAUUAUGUCUUAUUUUUAUUAUAUUGUUAUUUAAUGUUAAAUAUAAUAUUAAAUUUUAUUUAAUAUGAAAUCAUUUCAAUAUAUUUUAUUAAUAAAUAUUUAUACUAUUUUUAAUAUAAAUCUAACUUUAAUACUUAUACUAUCAUUUAAUAUUAAUUUAAAUUUAUUUAUUGUUUAACAUAAAUGAUUAAAUAGUUUUACUUUAUUAUAUGCAUGCAUAUUUUAAUAUAUCCUUAAUUUUUAUUUUAUACUUUUAUUUCAUCGUCAUCGUUGCUAUUAAAUUCAAACAUAUCUUACCAUUAAUUUUAAUCUCACUACUACAAUAACUAAUCUCACCAUUACCAUUAUUUUUAAUAUCACUAGAGUCAAUUUCGCCAUCCAUCUAAAGGGAGCCUAAGGAUGACAAUGAAGUACCAUGACCGAUAGGACAGAGAACCGACCAGGAUACUAGUUCGAAAGAAGGGAUUGGACCGGUUGCCCUCAAACAGGUUGAAUUGGUCCGUUGCACUUGUUUGAAUUAAUUUUCUAAAAUUUUUAAUAAUUUAUUCAAAUAAAUCGGACAAACUAGUUGAACAAAUUGAUUCAAUCAAAUAAAAAUAAUAAUGAUUUGAUAGGUUCGAUCAUAUCGAUUUGAUUUUGAAAACCUUGACUUUGAUUUUGAGAUUUGAGACGGACAACAUUUUUCUACAAUGACUUCUUGAGAUUUGAGAUUGCUUGUACAAUCAAUCCUCUAUAACAAUCACUAGAGGUGUUUAUGGGUUGGGCUGGGUUUGGCUGGGUUUAUGCAAGGUAUUUAGAAUACUUUUCUAAAUCCGUGCCUAAUUCGAAAAAUGACCUUAUUUUUUUGCCUAAGCUUAGAUUGAUUUGUGACAAGUAAACCCAGGUCGACCUGACUCGCCCAUAUAUGAUUUUUUUAGAUUAAUUUUUAUUUAAAAUUAUUUUAUAUAUAUAAUACACUAGAUGCACUGAAAAAAAGACUAAUAUUAAAAUAGUAGCAACAUAAUAGUAAAAUAGUAGCAAAAUAGGGAGAAAACAAUAAGAAACUAAUAUUAAAAAAAAGAUUUUGUCAUGUAGUGAAUUUGGACCAGGCCGGGCCCGGGCCAAAAAUGUCUUACCCGAGGCCUAGCCCGUUUUUUAAACGGGCCUUAUUUUUUUGCCCAAGCCCAUUUUUUGGGCCUAUAUUUUUUCUCAAACCCUCCCACAUUUCGGGCGGGCCACCCAGCUCGGCCCAUGCACACCUCUGCUUAUGUAACUAGGUAAAUAUUUUUUAAAUCUUGUGCAAUGAGUUUUAUUGUUAUUGGAUUAGUAAUUUAAUAUAAAUAUAAAUAUAAAUAUAUAUAAAUAUUAUUUAACAUAUAUAAUUAAUAUAAUAUUAUUUUAUAAUAUAAAAUUUUGGUCUGGUCGAGCUUGAGCCAAAAAAUUUGCCCAAAGCCUAGCCCAUAUAAAAAACGGGCCCUUUAUUUGUUUUAAGCUUCAAGCUUAAAGUUCAAGCCUUUUAGUAUAUAUAGAUAAGGUUGACUUUAAUUGUUUUAAGGUUUUUCUUGUACUAUUGAUCAAUGAUGAUUUUUUUUUUAAUUUUUAUUCUUCAUCUCCAUUUUAUAGUUAACGUUAAGAUUCAUGAUUGUCCCUUCUAAUAAUGUAAUCUAUAAAAUUAGAACAUAUAUUUUCUCUUAAAAGUGUAAUAUACCUUGCCAUUAAACUUAAUAUUUGCGGAUAUGUUUUUGAGGUUCAAAGUUACAGAGAAUAUUUAUUGUUAAGGAUAUUUUUUUUCAUGUGUUUGAUUUAAAUCGCAUGCUUUUAAAUUAUUAUUUUGGAAGCGUUAUUACUUGUUAUGUGAUAGCAAUUUAUUUAUGAUAUAUUUUUAGGAUAAAUUUCAAAAUUAUAUAGAAAUUUUAAUUUUGUUCAAUUCCUAUAAAAUAUUAAUACAAUUAUUGAUAUAACAUCAUUUUAUAUUUAUAUAUUACAUAUAAAAAUAAUUAUAUUUAUCUAAUAUAAAAUUAAAUUUAUAUAUAUUUUUAAAAACGUAUAAUUGAAUUAAAAAUAAUUUAUCUUAUAUUUUCUUUUUCAUUUUCUAUAUCUUAUUGCAAAGAAGAAUAAUCAAAUUAUAAUAUAAGAUAUAGUUAAUGCAUUUAGAAAUAGUUUAUGAUUUUUAAAAUAUAAAAUAUUUAAAAAGUAAAAUUGGGUAUUUCAAAAGGUGAGUGGGACAAAAUUUGUAUUAUUGGCAUCAACUUAUCACCUCAUAUAUGUUAAAUUAAAUAACAUAUGUAGACAAAAACAAGGUGGAGAUUCAACAAUGUUGUAAUUGUUGCAGAAAUUACAGCUAAAGGGAUCUUACAUCCUGCACCCAAAAAAAAUAAAAAAUAAAAAAUAAAAAAAAUCUCUCUCUGGAUAGUCUCAUAGUUAAUGUACAAGCAUUGAAAUUUAUGUCUAAACUCUAUCUUUGAAUGAUUUUUUUUGUCCUCUUGUUAAAUUUAAUUAUUCAUAUCAUUUCCAUGUUUUUUUUCUUAUUACAAUAUACUUUUUUAAGGUAUUAUUAUAAAUUUAUGUUGAUACAAGUUAUCAACAGAGACAAAGAAAGGAGGACGAUGAUGAAAAAGGUUGGUUCACCCAUUAUAGGGUCGAGAGUCGAAAAUAUAGAGAGACUUAGGAUGAAUGCAUAGUGUAUUAGGGUUUUGAGAGAAGAGUCCCCCUACUAAGUUAUACCUUGGGGUAUUUAUAGAUAAGUGAGGGCUCCUAUCGAAUUAUGCUACUCAAUGACUCAAUAAAGGAUUUAAUUGGGUCUACAUGAGGGUAAGAUUAUAACAAUUUAUAUAACUUGACUUUAAUAUCUUGCGCUCGAACCUUAACGUUUGAUUUUCUGGUCAUGAAUGUUCAUCUUAAAACUCAUGUAGUGAGUUCGAAUCAUAGGGAUUGUUUGCUUGUGGUAUAUAUGUGAGAGAGUAAUUUGUUACCGCAUUAUUUAAUUUGUCAUAUUAUUCUCUAUUUUAUAUCAUUUAUCAUAUUAUUAUAUGGGUAACCUACAUACAAAAUCACUGAACUAUUAGUAAGUUUACAUUUUGGUCACUUUACUUUAGAAUUACAAAAUAAUCAUUAAACUAUUAAAAAUUUUCAUUUAAUUCGUUAGGCUGUUAAAAUUGCCACUAUAUAGCUUUCUCCAUUCUCACCUUUAGCACAAAUUGAAAGGGUAAAAUUCCUCUCUUCUUCUACAAUUUAGUUUUCUUUUUUUCUCUCAUGAAACAGCUUCGAACAUCAUAAAUUUUGAACCAAAAUUCAAACAACUUUCUUUUCGGAUUUUUGACACUGACUAUUAGAUCAGCUUGGAUAUGAGAUGUGUUCUUCUACUCAUCGAUGGCUACUAUUUCACUGUAUCGAUAGUCAAAUCGUUGCUCAAAACUCACCAACUGGACUUUAGAAAGAAAAAAGACUUUACAGUUUAAUGACUUAAAUGAAAACAUUCAAAUAGUUCAAUGAUGUUUUGUAACUUUUUAAAAUUGAGUGAUCAAAACAUGAACUUACUAAUAGUUUAGUAACAUUAGAUGUAAUUUAUCGUUAUUAUAUUUAUAUUGUGUAAUAGUAAUAGAAUCAAAAUUAUAUAAUCUACCUUGUGUUGCGAAAAAAAAAACACAUAUCAAUUCAGAUACGAGACAACGUGCCGUUUCCUAGUAACUUACAAAAACAAGAAAUGCAAGAAGCCAGGACUUUAAGCCUAGGCCUUUUGUAUAUAUCUAUAGAUCAAAUCAAUGUAUUGGAAAUUGUCUGAAUCAACUCAAUCAUGGGUGUUUGGUUCUUAUCAUUGUUGUUCUUCUUUUUAUGUUCAAAGGUGAGGGCAGAACUGAUACCAUCGUUGCCAGGACAAGAAGACCACCUUUCAUUUAGGCAGUAUUCAGGUUACAUUGUAACAGAUGCAGAACAUGGCCGAGCUCUUUUCUAUUACUUUGUCGAAUGUUCAUCCAAUGAAGAUGUACUCCACCCUUUAACAUUGUGGCUCAAUGGAGGUUUUUAACCAAUUAUCUUAUUUCCAUUUCUUUUUUUUUUGCAUUAAAUAAAAUCUAGAUUAUAAAGGUUAGUCGAACUGGUUAAACCGAGAUUAAUGACAUAUUUAGUCUAAAAAUUAUAUAAAAAAUGAGUAAUAAUUGAAACUAACAAAAAAUCGAAUAUAGUCAGGAAUUAGAUUAUAUUUUUAUGUUUUUAAAUUUUUAUUUGUAAAAUACUAGUGUUGAAUGCAAUUUUUUGUUAAAUAUAUAUUUAAUAUAUAUUUUAAAUCAACUAUAUAUUUAAUAUUUAUUUUGCAUAAAUUAGUAUUAAAAAUAUAAAAUUAUAUGUGUAUGUACAAGUUUAUUGGUUUAAUGGAUUCAAUUACUGAAAAAAAAUAUUAAUGACUUAUUGAUAUUAUUAUUUUAAUAAGAAAUUGAUGUCAUUAAUUGUUUGAUUUAGGCCCUGGUUGUUCAUCACUUGGAUUUGGUGCAUUCAUGGAAAAUGGUCCAUUCCAACCAGGAGAAAAUGGAACUCUUAUCAAGAAUCCUUAUUCAUGGAAUAUUGGUACAUCGAACUCUACUUUUGUAUACAUAUUUUUAGGUAUCAUGCAUGUAUUUCUAUUAAGAUUCGGAUUAUAUAUAUUUUUUCUAUUAAAAAAUAAAUAAAAUAAUUUUUAUAUAUUAGAUUAAAGAAUAAAUUAAUCAUUUUGUUAAAAAUUUCAUUCAUUUUUAAUGUUAAAAAUUGAUCCUUAUACAUUAGAAUGAGGUACACAUGAUUAUUCCAUCAGUCACGUCAAUUUUUAAUAGUACAAAUGAAUAAAAUUUUUAACUAAAAAAAUUAAUUACUUUUUUUAAUCUAACAUACAUAAAUUAAUUUAUAUAUUUUAAAAUAAAAAAGUAAAAUAUAAUCUGACUUUUAAUGCAGAGGUAUUACCCAUGUAUUCACAGUUUAAAUUCCUUAUUAUUUAUUAAAGAUUUUCCUAUUAUGAUAGAAUCCCACAUGUUAUACCUGGAAUCGCCAAUUGGAGUUGGAUUUUCGUACUCCAAUACUAGCAAGGAUUACAUCGAUUGGAAUGAUACACAGACAGGUCUGUAUUUUCCUAUUCAUCCUUAACCCUACUUCAUAUUUAGAAAUUCUAUGAAGAUUAUAUAUAUUUAAAACAAUUAAGAGUUGGGGUGAAGCAAAAAACUAUGGACUGAUCCUCAUGUGAUGAUGAUUGUUUUAAUUGUGGCAGCUGAAGAUAACUAUAGGUUUAUUUUGAAGUGGUUGGAAGAAUUUCCCCAAUUCAAAGAUUGUGACUUUUUCUUAGCCGGUGAAAGCUAUGCAGGCCACUAUAUCCCACAACUGGCAGCCUUGUUAGUGGAGCACAACAAGAACCCUAACGUGGAACCAGUCAACCUCAAAGCCAUUGCUGUAAUAUACAAAUGAUAUGGUUAUCACCUUUAAACCUAUCAAAAUUCAUUAGUUUCAAAACUUAAAAUUCGAUUAUUUUCUUCAUUUUAUAGCUUGGGAAUCCACUUUUGGACCUGGACAUCAGUGUACUGGCCGGGGACUACUUAUGGUCUCAUGGUGCUAUAUCAGAUGAAACCCUCUUCUUGGAGAAGACGGUGUGCAACGAUUCCAAGUAUAUGCGAGAAUACGUUCAUUCACAAUGGUCUCAAGGGUGCAAUGAUGUGUUCAAUAGAGUUGCAGAUGAAGUGAGUCUCGAUGUGGGAUUCGAUGAUCUUCUCUUGCCGGUUUGCACAUCUUCGAGCAACGUCGAGCAAUUUAAACUUAGAAGCAUAUAUUCAGCUGUAUGUCUCUUCCUUCCUACAUAUAUAUUAUUUGGACUCUUCAUUUUGGGAAUUUUUCUUGAGCCCCUCUCAAAUAUUAAAUUAUUUUAUUUACUUCUUAAUUUUUAAUUUUGACCCUUCACUUACUUUCAAGUAUGAGUAGCAUAUUUAUAUAAGUAUUAAAAUAGCAAUAUGAUGAGAUUGAUAAUUUUGCUUUUAACACUUGCGAAGGUUGGUAAGAGAGAAAAGAAGGGUGAUCCAUGCCUUAAAGGAAGAAUAUUUUCCUACCUUAAUAAGCCUGAAGUUCAAAAGGCACUCCAUGCCAAUACAACUCACCUCCCUUUCCAUUGGGAUUUUUGUUUAGGGUAGUUUUCUUUCUCUUUCAUAUUCAUAUUAUUGGACUGAGUUGAUUCAAAAAAAUUUCUAAAAAUUUAAAAUUUUGGUUGACUUGAUUGAUGCAAUCGAUUAGACCAAUGAUAAUAAAUCUUAUCGGUUGGAUUUUUAAUCCUAUUUUUUAACCUAUAUAUACACAUUUAGGGUUAAUUAUUUAAUAUUGAAUAGUAUAGAGAGAGUAAAACUAGGGUUUUGCAGGCCUCUUGUCUACCAAGAAGAGAACAUAGACAUGAACCUUAUUCCUCUUGUCUCAAAUCUUAUCAAGGAGGGUAUUCCUGUCUUAUUGUAUAGGUAUGCUGUUUCCAUAGUUAUAAUUCUUCAUAAUUUUACAUAAUUUCUUCAACAUUUGCUAGUUGGUGCUUCAUAUAUUAAUAAUUGUAAUGUUUUCUUCUUCUUAAUUGUAAUGUUUUCUUCUUCUUCUUCUUCUUUUAAAAUUUAAAAUAGUGGGGACCAAGAUGCAAAAAUCCCACUUACUCAAACAAGGAUAAUUGCUAAUAACAUUGCAAAGGAAUUGAAUCUAAGUCCCUUUUCAAACUAUGGCACUUGGUAUGACCAAAAACAGGUAUCACCUAAAUCUCUCUUGGUAAAUUAAUGAUUGCAAUCCUUUAAUAAAUUUGAUUUUUGCAACAUUGAAUUAUUGUAGGUUGGAGGAUGGACACAAUCAUUUGGUGGAGAAGAUGCAAAUGGGAAGAAUGUAACAUAUCUAACAUUUGCAACAGUGAGGGGUGCAGCUCAUGAAGUACCUUUCACUUCACCUUCACAAGCCCUCACAUUGUUCCAUUCAUUUGUGAAUGGAAUUCCUUUACCUAGGCCUUCCAAUUGAACCCCAUUGUCUCAAUCACUUUCUUUUCUUUCUUCUCACAAUAAAUAAGGAUGAGUUUGUUCCAAGACUAAAAUAGCUUUCAAUCUACAUUCCCAAAUAAAUCUUCUUCUUUUUCAUCUGUGUUUCAAGUUUUUGUUAGAAGGAUAUGUGAGAAUGGUUUUGAGGAGGUGGAGUUGAAAGCAGUUCCAUUUUUGCUAAGCCCAUAAAAUUUUAAUAAAAAUAACAACCCCAAGUAGAGAUAGGAUAACAUGCAUAAGAUUAUAUUAGUCAAAGAAACACCAAAUUUUCCAAUAAAUAAAAGGUAUAAUAUUAAAUUUAGUCCUCAACAUUUAUUCUUUUUUUUUCUUAAUUUGGACUUUAUUUUAUUAAAUUUAACCAUCAACCUUUUAAAAAGACUCGAAUUUGACCAACAGUCUUUUUAAAAAUAGUUGAAUUGUUUUCUUUAUAACAAAAAUAUUGACUUAAAUGUUAAAUUUUUAAAUAUGACAGUAUGCAUGGCAAUAUUUUUUUUGAAUUUUUAAGAAUUUUUUAUUUUUUUUGAAAAUUAAUUUUUUUAAAAUUUAAAUUAUUUGUUGACAUGUCAUGUUAGACAAAUGGUGUCAUGUCAGUAUGAAGUACAUGUUAACAAGGGAAAAGUCAGAAAAUUUUUUUGAGAGGCCGAAAUCAAAUGAUAUAUUUUUACGAUGGUCAAAAUGUAAUUUCACCAUUUUAAUAGUUUAUUUCUUUACAAUUUUUAAAGUAUUAAAACAAUUUUUUAUCAAUUGUGGAUGUCAAAAUAUAAUUUUACCAUUACUUAUUUAAAAUUUUAUAAAAUAUAAAGGGCCUAAUUUUUUUUUCCUUUUUAGGGAGGUCAAGACCCCUACUGCCACGUGAAUUGUCAUGUCAAAAUUGUUAAAAAAAUUAAUAUUUUAACUGUUUUUUAAAAUGUUGAUAACCAAAUUUUACCUGAAAAAGAAUUAAAUUAAAAAAAUAUAAAUAUUAAAGACUAAAAUUAACAUUAUGCCUAAAUAAAAUAAUAUUACAGUAGAAAACACCAACCAUUAGCAGAAACUUAGAGGUGAUAAAAUAUUAACACAUCCCCAAAACAAUAUGCAUACAAACAUGUCAAAAACAGCCUUUUAAGGCACUCAACAACCUUAAAGACACAAACACAACCACUUUUUACAACAACAUUUUAUUAUAAUAGUUAAAUUUAUUGUAGAAUCGAUUUUUAUGUUUUAAUGUUACUUUUUAGAACAACUUUUCAUUUAUAAUAGUAACAGCUUUAAGGUAUUAUUUUCUGAAUUGGCUCUCUGUAAUAAUAUCUUGUUUUAAGUUUUAGUAAAUUUAAAUUUAUUCUUAAAUGAAAUAAAAAUAAUAAAAUCAAGUCAAGAUAUUAUUUCAAUAAAAUACUUAAACUUUAUAUAAAAUAUAUAUUAAUAAUAUUUUGUUAAAUGAAAGUAAUCUUUAAUAAAUGGAUUUUUAUUUGUAAAUUUUAUUAAAGAUAUAAUCUAAAUCUUACUAAUAAAUAUCAUUGUUAAUAUAUUAUAUUUUUAAUUUGAAUUUUUAUAAAAAAAAAUAUGACCUAAAUAUAAAAUAUUGUUGUAGAUUAUAUAAUAGUAUCUUUCUAUAACAUCCAAAAUUUUGAUAGAAAAAUAAAAUUAUUAUAGAGAGAUGAUUGUAAUGUCCAAUUUGUAAAAAUUUAAAAAGUUUAAUUACUUAUCACGUAUCAGCCCAUAAAAUUCGUUUAACCCUCAAAUCAUUCAAAAAUAAAAAUUUAAAAGCAAUCAUUAAAUAAAACUUUGAGAAAAUUGUUGCAUAAAAGUAACAUAAAAGGAAUAUAUGAAAUGAUUUAGUCGGCCACCCGUUUAGAUUCGAAGGCUCACUCGAAAAGUAGGAGGGUUUGGAAAAAUAUAAGUCCAAAAAUAGACUCAAAUAAAAAAUAAGGCCCAUUUUCUAAACAGGCCCGGCCUCGAAUAAGAAUUUUUUUUAUCCAAGCUUAGCCCGACCUAAAUUUGAAUAAAAAAUUUCCUAUUGUUGUUUGGCUACAAUUUUACUAUUAUAUUGCUACUAUUUUGUUGUAUUGUUGGAAAACAUUUAUUUUAAUAUUUUUAGUAUAUUUGAUGUAUUAUAUUUUUUAAAUUUAUUUUUAUAUAAAAAACGAUAUAAUUUUUUUAAUACGGAUAGACUAGAUCGGGUUGAGCUCGAAUUUAGUAUUUUUAUCUAGAUUGAACUUGAACAAAAUUUAAGCCCAUUUUUUCAGCUGGGCCUUAGACCUAUAAAACAGACCUAUAAUUUUAUAUUGGUUCGACUCAUAAUCAGGUCUAAUAAAACUCCAAUUAACAAGAAGCUCUUGCACCAUGAAUCAGUCCUCAAAUCCAUCCCUCCAAGGAGUUGUUGAUUGUUGCUGAUAAUUUUGAAAAAAAGAAAUCAUCACAUACCUUAGACUCCAAAGAGCUGAAAAUAAAUUAUUGAAUCGUCCCCUUCUUCUUAAGACGCUACUAGUUUCCCUAGUUUUCAUGCUUUCUCUACUCUAAUAAUUAUUUUCUUUAGAUUUUUAAUAUCUAAAUAAAAAAUUGCAAUAUUUUUGUAAUAUCCCUAAAAUCAUCGUGCUAUAUUUGUAAAGUAUAUACUGAGAAUAUGUAUAGUGGAUUCCUCAGGUGAAUGAAAACAGAUAUAUUAGUGAUACUAGAGAAGGAUAAUGGAUACUGGAAAAAGUUGAAACAAGUUUUAUAUUGUGAGAUAUUCAUCUUGGGUGUAAACUAAAUUGUAAAAAUAUGAAAAAUAUUAGGUUAAAUUGUAAAUAUUCAAAAGUUAUCCUAGAAAACUGAAGGAGAAAUGCUCAAAAUUUAUGGUGUAAAAUUAAGAGUUAAAGAGGUACAAAAGUGAGAAGAGAAGGGUUGAAGAAACCUGUUCCAAGUGUCCUUGAGGAAAGUAAAACACACGUUCUCCUUCUCUAGGAAUUGUGACCAAAGGACCAGCACAUGCAGAGCCCUAUAAAUGUCUCUUUCUAUCCAUAACCCAAAAUCAAACCUUCAUUAAAACCAGACUCGUUUUCUUAAUAAAAACAACGAAUUAAUUACAAGUUUACCCAUGGCGAAACUCGGAUUUUGGAACUCCAUGGGAAAGCUUGUUUCAAGUGGUGAUGUUGUGUAGGAAAAAGAGCUUUAAGAGAUAAAUUAGUUUGACUUUGGUAAUCGUGAGUGGAAGACUUUGAAAAGCAGGUAUACUAAUGGGAAAGCCAUGAUUUAGUUUGAAAUUAUUUUAAUUCACAUAAUUAAAAAUUAUUAAUAAUAUUAUAAAAGUAAAAGGACCAAAUUACGUAAAAAUUAAAAUAUAGAGGUAUCAUCUUAAAUUUAGACAUAAUAAAAAGACUGACACCAAAUAAUUAUGAUUUUUAAAUAUUAAUUAAAUAUAAAUUAUUAAAAAAAUUUAAAAACCCGUAGCGGGUCACAAUUCUAGUUUAUGUAUAAAUUUGAAUAGUGUAAGGUCGUAGUUCAUAAUUUUAAUCAACUAUUAAAAUAUUUAUUUAUUUUUAAGGAUUUCUAUAAGAUAUUAUUGUUUGUACAUAGAUAAUAUACCAAAAUAUAAAUCCUUCGUCAUUUUAUACACAUUUCAACAUGUUUUAUAAGCUAUUUUAUUUUAAUUCUUAAUGUUUUAUAAAUUAUUCAAAAGUUUUUAUUUAAGUUGUUAAUUUUUUUUAAAAAAGUCCCACCAACAAGUUCCAGGCAAUGAUUGAUACAGUGGAUUAGUACCAAUCGACGAGUAAAAAAAAAAACUUUACAUCCAAUCGAUUUGGCGGUCAUUGUUGAAAAUUGGAGAUAAAAGUUGUUUGAAUUUUAGUUUGCAGAUUCGUGGCGUCUAAAGCUAUUUAAUAAAAAAAAUUAAAUUGUAGAAAAGAAAGAAAAAAAAAAAGAGUUUCCAAUUUGUGCAAACAGAGAAAGUCAUAUAACAUUGAUUUUAAUAGCUUAGUGACUUAAAUAAAAACUUUUGAAUAGUUUAAUGACCAAAUUAUAUCUUAUUUUUAGUUAAGUGACUAAUGGUGGAAUUUAGUGUUCUAAUUUUAUAUUUUUAUUAAAGGAUAAAUAACAAAAUUAUACAUGAACUUUGAUGAAAUUUGUAAUGUUAUACAUCAACUUUAAUUUAGCGCGUUUGUAGACUUGAAACUAUAAUUUUGGUUUAAUUUUUAUAUUUCAUUAACUCUAUUAUCCAUGUGGUGCCAUUUUCCAUUAGAUCGUGUAUAAAUUACAGAUAUGACAUUUUAGUAAGUUAAAAAUAAAUAAACAAAUUUAAAUUAUUUUCACUUAGAUUAAAAAAAAUAGAUUUCCGGAAAACAAUAAAAACUUUUUUUCCAAGUGUAUUUAUUUUUUAAUUUAGAUAAAAAUAAUUUAUUUUUAAUUUUAAAAUUUUAAAAAGCAUUCUAAAAGUUCUCUUCCAAAUCUCUCCAAUUCUAAUACAAACAAACAUUACGGUAAGGAGCUAAAUGACCAUUUUCUCUCUAUUUAAAAUUAGCUUCACAAAGGCUGGAAAUAGAAAUUCCACCAAGUUGCCCCUUAGUAACCGUCAACUCUUCCAACUUGCAGAUCGACCUCAUGACCUUCCUUAUUGCAACGUCGUGACGUUGAUGGAGGACUUCUCACUUGUUGGUGUCAGGGCAUCGACACCCCAAUCUCAAGAUCGGCAUGUCGCAACUUAUUAAGUCGACAUCGCAAAUUUAACACUCUUUAUAUCACGACGUCAAUCACUUUCUACAUCAAUUAUAUUUUAGAAUCAAUCAACGUCACACCUUUAAAAUUCAUAACCUCUUAUCUAAUCAUCCUUAGCAUCCCAAAGAAAAUAUCUCAUGUUGCGACCACGAUCAUUACCACGUUGCGACAUUUCCUUGUUUCAACCAAUCUUCCAUGUCUUGUAUGUCUUGGUCCUUCUAGCACUCCUACAUAGUCACUAUAUGAGUAUCAUUUACUACAUAAAACUAAGGUAACAUCAGAAACACUAAAAUAGACAUAAAAACAGGACUAACACUAAAUGCAACACGUUGAAUUGCUAAUCAAUUAAAAUACUUAAUUUUACCUAUGCUUAAUAUAUAGGUUGGUCUCAAAAUUUGGCAACUAUUCUCAAAUUGACCUUUAAAUAUUUUUAGAUCAGAUUGGUUCUUAAGGUUGGCAUCUGUUACAUAAAUUGAUUUUUAUGGUUAACACCGUUAGUUUUUUAACAGUUGGGUGAUAUGGCCAAACACAUAGGUGACAUGAGGACAAAUAGAGGAGUGAAAUGUGCCUUCCUCUUUAAUUAUUCUAAAAUUUUAAAUUAAAAAAUAUAUAAAUUCAAAAAAUGUAAAUAAUUUUUUAGAAAAUAUAAGAAAUAUAUGAAAUUUAUAAAAAUUCAAAAAAUAUAAAAUAGUUAAAUUUUUCUAAAAUUUUAACAUUACUUUUUUGAAUUUUUCAAAAUAUUUUGAGAACAUUUUUUUAGUUUCUUUUUGAAAUUUUAACUAAUUUUUUAUUUUUAUGUUUUGAACUAUACGUAUUAUUUUUUGAAUUUUUAUAAUUUAUUAUCAUUUCGUAUACUUCUCUAAAAAAUUUACUUUUUUUAAUUUAUACACUUUUUGGAUUUUUAAGAUUUUUUUUAUUACAAUUUUUAGAAUAACUAAAUAGGAAGACAUGGGUUUUUAUUAAAGCAAUUUUGCAAGCUAUUCCAACCUAUUCGAUGGCCUGUUCUUUAUUACCUAAGUCACUAUGUGAGGAGCUUGAAAGUAUUUUAGCAAAGUAUUGGUGGCAGCAAGGUUGGGGGAAGAGGGGAACUCAUUGGUGCACUUGGCAAAACCUUUGUUUUUUAAAAAAAAAUGGUGGCUUAGGUUGUCGUAAUUUAGGUCAAUUUAAUAUUGCGUUGCUAAACAAGGUUGGCGUUUGAUUAGUUAUCCUUGUUCAUUAUUAGCCAGGGUUUUGAAAGUGAAAUACUAUCCGAGAUCGAAUUUCUUAGAGGCUCAGUUAGGAACUUUACCUUCACUUACCUGGAAGAGCAUUUGGGCAGCCAAGGGUCUCUUUAAAAAAGGAUUAUGCUGGAGAAUUGGGCAAGGAAAUAAGGUAUCCAUUUGGGAUGAUUGCUGGAUUCAGGGGAUUGAUUCAUUGGAAAGGCCAAACAAUUCAGAAAAUAUGCAGAUAGAGUUAGUUUCGGAUCUUAUUGAUAAUACUAAUAGGAAAUGAAGGGCAGAGUUAAUUAGCAAUACCUUUCAGCCAUAGGUGACUCGAUCAGUCUUAGAGAUCCCAUUAUCAGAAUCUACCCACGUAGAUUUUCAAGUCUGGAGGGGUGAACCGACUGGUACAUACUCAGUUUGCAGUGCUUACAAACUAUUACAAAUUGCUAAUCUGGAUCCUAGUGAUUAUUUAUUACAGAUCGAAUAUAAGGACUUUUUUAGAAAAUUAUGGAAUUUGCAACUACCACCUAAAGUUACAAUUACAAUUUGGCACAUAUCCUGGAAUUAUAUUCCCACUUUGGGAAAUCUCAGACAUAGAAGAAUAGUGUCCAAGGCCAGAUGCCCUCGUUGUGGCUAUGAAGUGGAGGACUGUCAUCACAUCUUCAGGCAAUGCCCUAAAAGCAUCGAAGUUUGGCAGUUAGUAAAUUUAUCAUGGGUCACAUAUAUUUUUUAACUUAAUUUCUAGGAAUGGCUUACCGAGGUUUUCAAACAAGGGUAGAAGGAACAAUGCAGAUACUUUUGUUUUGCCUUAUGGAUGCUCUGGUUUUCAAGGAAUCGACUGUUGCAUGAGAAGAUAAACGUAAUAGGUGAAAGCAUCACGCAACAGAUUCAGAAUCAUAUGACAGAGUUUGAGGGGGUUAGAGCAAAAAAGAUUUUAACAAACACGGUCAAUAAACAAAGUGUGAGGGAAGACGUACUGAUGGUGAAGAUUCAAUUUGAUGCGGCAUUUGACUACAAAGAGCACAGAUCGGUAUCAGGGCUGGUGAUUUGGGGCACGAGGAACGAGUUUCUGGUUUCGAAGUCAAUCAUUCAUGCCAAUAUUGCAUCUCCGUUCACAGCAGAGGCACAUGCAGGAUUGGAUGCAGUAAAGUUAGGAAUCGAAAUGGGUUUUCAGGAAGUUUAGAUAUUGGGUGACUCAAGAACAGUAAUUCAAAAAUGUCAGUCAACAAAAAGGGAUUACUCAGUUACCGGAGUGAUUAUUAGAGACAUCCACAACAAUAAAUUAUACUUUCAAAAGAUCGAGUUCAAAUACAUUCAGAUAACAGAGAAUAGGAGAGCUCAUAAUAUCACAAGUGAAUCAUUGAAGAAAUGAGAGAAUACAUACCUGGAGAGCGAAGAACUGAUUCAGCGCACUGGCAGUGAAGUAGAACAACGGGCAAGGAAUCCAGACUAAUGGAUUAGGAGAAAUUUGUUUUCAAAAUAGGAUAGCAAAGAAAGUAUCCUUGGGCAGAACUAUUGACAGACAGAUAGAAUGGAAGAGAAUGACGAUAAGACAAGUCAUGCAAGACUAAUGGUUUCCAGCCGUUGAAGUGUGAAUACUUGGUAGAUUAGAUUUAAUUUUCCUAGGCUAUUAAUUGCUUUGCCGGUUUCCAUUUAUUUUUUUGAUUUAUUUUUUUUUUCAAUUUGAUUUACUGGCUUCCAAUACAGAUGGUAGAAGGCUGGGGCGGUCAUUGGGCUUGCCUUAGUAGGCCAGAACAAUUAUUUUUUGGUUGUUUUAUUUUAAUAAUGAAUACCCAGUAGAUCCUUAUUCAAAAAAGAAAAAAAGAAAAAAGGAAGACAUGUACCGUUUCCUUGUUUGCUUGCAUGUCACAUCUUAAUUUGACCACAUCACCCAAAUGUUAAAAAACUAAUAGUGUUAACCAUAAGAAUCAAUUUGUGUAACAGAUGUCAACCUUAGAGACCAAUGUGAUCCAAAAAAACGUUUAGAGGUAAAUUUGAGAAAAGUUACCAACUUUAGGUGUCAAUCUAUAUAAUAAGCCUUUUACUUAAAAACAAGCUACAAUAAGCAUGAAAAGACCCUAAUUAUUUAUGCCAAAUUAUAACACAUCAUUCAGGAUCAUCUAUCAUAGUUUAAAAUUAAGUGCGUUUCUUGCAAUUUUCUUUUGUAGCUUUUUAGAGUUUAACUUGUAUCUCAUGUUAUCUAGGCUCAUCUCGUAGGUGGAAGGACACAAAAACAAAGAAGUGAGCUGAAACAACAAUGAGGGCCACAAUGUGUAACCAUAGAAGGUUGCAACCCUACACCUUAAACUGUUAUUGCAUUGAUUGUGAUAAUACUCUAGAAUGACAUAUUUUUAUGUAUUAAUUAUAUGUUUAUUUUGAGUAUGAUCCUAUUAAUUUGAGCUAUUUACGAUUUUUUAUCUUAUAGGGACCAAAUUGAAGGCAAAAGGAAAUUUGGGGACUAAAAGCGUGAAUUUAAAGAUAAAAUGGGCUAGCAUGCAAGAGGUGGUGCCAGAAACACAAAUUGUGGAAGAUUUGGAGCAAUAGUGCAAAGAAGAGAUUUUAUAGCAUAAGACUCUAUUUAAAUUCUAAUUAUAUUAGGAUAAUUAUUAAGGAUUAUUAUUUAGAUUUAAUUUUAGUUUUUAUCUUUGUUUAUCUUUAAUUAUCUUUAUUUAUUUGUAUUUAUCUUUUAGAAUUUAAGUAGGAAUAGACUAGGUUUCCUAGUACUAUAAAUAGGGGAUGGAGUGACACAAAUUUCAUCAUCGUUUCUAUAAACACUCUCUCUCCCAAAAACCUUAGCCUUUUUUCCCUUCAUAUUAUUCAAUAAAAAUUCUAUUUCCAUUACAUUUAUUUCUUUUUCCCUAAAAAUCAUGAGCCACUAAAUUUAUCUAGCCAAAAGUUGUCGAAAUUCUCCAAAAGGGUUCAUGAGGCUUAGAAUCUACACUUAGCAUUCUCAACGAGUAUUCAUCGUUUCUUCGCAUUACGGGGCUGACGCUUCCAUUCUUGUCCCUUAAAAGGUGAUCUUUUCAACUUGUGCAAGGAACGACCGCUUUGUAUGUUUUAGGAAGAUUGCACAGUCGGUUCGUUAGCUUACUACGUCAAAGUUUGGCGAACCCAAGAGACAAAAUAGCUUGGCAUUCGCCAUUGAGAAGUGAUGAUCUGACAUAAAAUGGUCCCACAAAAGCGAUUGUUGGUUAGAGUCAGGUUCCUCUAAAUCAUAAGUUUAAAAUCUUGGAGCUGGUGGUCGUAAGCGUCCUCUUCCACUAUAAAUAGCUUAUUUUGUUUGAGAAGGAUCACCUAAAAGACGAGGAUUGAACCCAAGGCGGAUCAAGACAACCGGAGGCUGAAAUCUCUCCAUAAGAACUCUUUUUCCUCAACUUUAUUUAUCUCUACUAUUUUUAUUUUAAUUUUCGUAAUUUCAAUUCAAUCAAAAUUUUUAAUUCUAUUUUUUUAUUUUUUCUAGGUACGCAGGUUUUCUUAGGCACGAUUCUGUCCGAGAUUUCGAGGAACAAUCACUUGUGAAAAUCUAGUCUUUGAGGAUUUGACCCUACUUCCCUUAAACUAUUCUUUGCCAUUAUUUUAUAGGGAUAGGAUAUUUUUUGUGCUCUCAACGACCGCAUCAGAUUGGAGUCGACUCACGUGACUAAAUCUUGACUUGGAAGAAAUUGUUCAUAGACUUGCCUCUAUAUUGUGACACAAGUUUUAGCUAUAUUGCAACAUUCAAGACUAAUUGAGAGGAAGCCCUGUAACAGCCUAUUUUCAGUUAUGCCAAAAAUAGUGGCUUCAAAACUUCGUUUAUUUAUGAUUGAAUUAGUAAAUCUUAAAAUUUGAUAUCUAUUGGUCUAUUAUAUUGAUUAUAUGAAAUUUUGAUUUAGUAAUUUGGUUGAGUAUGUAGUUGAGUUUAGUACCCGAGCUAAAUUGUAAAGAAGGUAAAAGUUAUUUAUCCUUGACCUUUAGGAGCUAAAAAGGUAAUUUUAUAUGGCAUGUAGGUACCCAAAUUUACCCGAGCCCAUUAAUGCCCAACUAACCCAUUACAGCCCAAUAACCAAAACCCAAAACAAACCCAAAAUUAAAAAAAAACCCUAGCAGCUCAAUACCCAAACCAUAGUCAAACAAAAAAUACCAAACCCUAACCCCACUUGCACUGCCUACAGCCAUUGCUGCCAUGCCAGCCCUCUGCCACCAUCUGCUCCACGCCCCAACUGCUCCUGCAAGAGAAACACUCAAACAACAGUAGAAAAAUAAUAAGAAAUAUAUGUAAAUGGCUAUAUAAAAGCCUAGAAAUCAGAUUGUAAAAGGGGGGCUUCUUGUUUUUUUUUCGGCAAUCUUGAUCAAUACAAUAGCACUCGAUUUUAAAGCAAAACAGUGAUUCAAACGCAUCAAACAAAGAAUAACAAAAAAAAACCAAGCAAAAUCGGAAGAAAGAGGUGAUCCCGUCAUUUUUUUAUUUACUGUUAUUUUUUUCUUAUUUCUUUUCUCCCUCUAUUUAUACAUAAAUAUACAUAAAAAGAAGAAAAAAGAACACUCACCUUUAAAAGUAUAAAAAAAGGUGUUCUGGAACUUCAACCACCGCGCACGGCGAUCGCCGGAGGCGGCGUGUGGCGGUGACCAGCCGAACUUCCACCGGGUUCAAAGGGCCUGCAGAGAAAACUAAGAAAGAAAGAUUUUAAAAAAAAAAACUGAUAUCAAAUGACUUUUUUUUUAAUUAUUUUUAGUUUAUAUAGGCCAUAUAAAACGACGUCGUUUUGGCCGACGUCCAUAAGCCCCAAAACGACGUCGUUUCACCUAGGACCCGUGCCUUGACCUGACCCUCUCCAGGGAUCCGCGUGUUUUUGAUUUCUGGGUUAUUUACGCGCGCAGUCCUUUUGUUUUUUUUAAGACUUUGCAAUUAAGUUUUUAUUCCUUUUAAUUUCACCCCGAAUUUGUGCUUGGAUUUCAAUCGGGUCCUACUCGAUGUUGCGCGUUUUAGAGGGAGGGUUUAUUGCCCGAUUUGGCCCCUCUUUGUUGUUUGCGUGUUCGAUUUGGUCAUUUUCUUCUUUACUUAUUUUUAAAUUGGCCAAGAACUUUCAUUUUAGGUUUAAUUUAGUCCUUUUUUUGUUAUUUUCGAUAUUUUAAUUAAAUUAAUUAAAUUAAUAUAUUAUUAUUACUUAUUAUUUUACUACUAUUAUUAUUGUCAUGAUUAUCACUAUUAUUAUUACUUUACUAUUAUAAUUUAAUGUAUUGUCGUUAUUAUUAUUAUUAUUACUAUUUUCAUUAUUAUUAUUAUCUUCAUACUAAACUAAUUAAGUUCAUAUUGUUAUUAUUAUAUUAUAUAUUCUCUUUUUGUGUUUAUUUAUUUAUUGUUUUAUUAUUAAUUAAUUUAGUAUUAUUAUUUAUUAUUUAUUAUUGUCCUUAUUAACAUGUCAUCAUUUUAUUAAUAUAUGAUUAUUACUAUUGUUAAUAUAUUAUUAUUUUCUACUUUGACUUGUUGUGUCAUUAUUAUUGUUAUUGUUACUGUUAUUAUUCAUGUAUAUAUUAUGAUUAUUGUUAUUAUUAACACUCAUAUCGUUAUAUUAUUUUUAUUCCUUUUAUUAUUUAUUGUCAAUAUAUUAUUAUUAUUAUUAUUAUUAUUAUUAUUAUUAUUAUCGUCACUAUCAUAUCUUUUAUUUAACAUAUUAUUAUUACUAACUUUUAUUAUCAUUAUUACUAUCGUAUUAUUAUUACUAUUAUAUUUUCAUCCAUGUAAAUUUUCUUGUUACUUACCUAUUUAUAUUUUUAUCUAUUUAUGUUUUUGUUGUUAUUAUAUUUUAAGCAUUAUAUCUAUAUUAUCAUUUCACUAUUGUUAUUUUUUUCAUAUUAUUAUUAUCACUACUAUUACUAUCAUUUUCUAAAAAGUUUUACAUAAUAUUUAUUUAUUUACUACUAGUUCUUUUUAAUUUCAAAUAUUUUUUUAGCUUAUUCAUUUUACCCAUUUGUUUUAUCUUUUCUCUUAUCAUUAUUAUCGUUUACAUUCGUGUUUACGCUUAUUCUGUUAUACCUGUCAAUACUGAAAUUUUUAUUUUGUUUAUGCAUUCUCUAUUAUCUCGUUUUAUUACGAAUUUAUAUUUUAUCCAACCCAAAAUUAAUUCUUCUAUAAAGGCAAUGAUCCGUAUUUGGAAUUUCGAGAAAAUCGUGCCCUAACGUAUUUGGAAUUUCGAGAAAAUCGUGCCCUAACUUACUGGGUUUCGAUUUUUAUUAUUUAAUCCAAAUAAUGGAAUAUUCUUUUAAAAUUGCAACAUGAAUUUUGAAUAAAAUGCUUAUUCUCGGAAAUACGAGGUGUUGUGUCCUAACUUACUGGAUAAGACAUCUUGUUACCUCGAGAUAAGAUUUCACAAAUAAAGGCAAUAUUCGACAUUUGAAAGUUCGAGAUAUCGUGCCCUAACUGACUGGGUUUCGAGUUUUCUCGUUUACUCUAAAUAAUCGAAUACCCUUUUAAAAAAGUUCAAAUACACAAAUUUUAAGUAAAAGGCAAGCUCAUUCUCAAAAGUUCGAGAUGUCGUGUCCUAACUUACUGGAUGUGACAUUUUAUUACUUUGAGACGAAAGGGUCUUUAACAUUCGAGUAUUUUUUUACAAAAGAGGGAUCAUAUUUUAAAAGUCUUUCAAGUUUUCAAUUUUCGACACUAAGACACUAGUUAAUCAACUAGGUACCAAUUUUGGGUGUUACGAGGGUGCUAAUCCUUCCUCGUGCGUAAUCGGCUCCUGAACCCGUUUUUCUGAAUUUCGUGGACCAAAAUUGUUGUUUAAAUAAAUCGAACCAUUUAUUAAAAACAACCACUUUUACGAGGUGACUCGACACACCUCAUCAAAAAGGAUUGGUGGCAACUCCCGUCUUUUCGUUUUCUUUUCAAAACCCAAGUCGAUCCCAUUUUUCAAAAAAAAUGGUUUCGACAUGGCAAUUUGUCCACUUUAGACAUAAAUGGACGAUUCAUGCAUAAGUUUAGAAGAAACACAUGUAAGUUUAGAUAAACACAUGUUAAAAUGUUAAUGAUGUAAUAUUUUGAGAAUUGUGUUAGUGGGUAUUUAAGUAGAAAGAAAGAGAAUAAUUUUCAAUCUCAUCUUCUACAGCAAAAUCUCACCGUAAUUGGAAGAAAUAAAUGCUUUAAGAUUUCCUCAUCUUUCAACUUUGUAUAGUAAACUAAUUCAAACCUGUUUUGCAUGGAUCUUGUGUUUUUGAUUUGGUUACAUUUCAAUUUAGCUAACCGUGGUGCUUAUUUAUAAAACGGUUAAAGAUUUCAUAAAUUACCAUUAUUGAAUGCUUGAAGUAUUGAAGAGUGUUUGGAUGAGAAGUUAAGAUAUGUAAAAGCUUUACGUAGUAAAGUAUAAAUGUCCAAAACUAGUUUGAAUGUAUUGUAAGCUGAUGUAUAUUAUUUAGAAAUUUAAGAGAAAGGAUCAAACUAACUCGUAGAUAUAUACAGUGAGUUGAUGAAUGGUAUCGAGUUAAUAAUAAUUGAAUUAAAUUAUGUAUUAGAUCAAUAUUUGAAUCCGUCACGAGAAGACCAUGAAAGAGGGAAGGUUGUUGAGUAGACUUUGUUGCUAUGUGUUACCAUUCUACCAGGUAAGUUCAUACUAUAGAAACGUUAUUUAACCUUCUUUCCUUUUUGUUCUUAAAUUGUAUAAAUAAAAUGUGCUAAGUAGAAGUAGUUGCUAAAUAUAAAUAGAAGUGAGAAUAUUGAAACAUGUUAUAAAAGAAUGCAAAUGGAAUUACAAAAUAACAGUGUCCCGAUGAACUUAGUAAAAGAUUCAUACAGACAAUUACAAGUUAUUUCUUGAUUAUUUUGAGAUCCAAAAUUUGGCGUGGACUCAAAGAUACAUGUGGCACAGAUUUAGCCUGAACCAGUAAUUUAUUGUCAUUUUAAAAGUUUAGCUUUGAUUUGUAACCUUAUAUGUAUAUAGCCUUGGUUAGACUUUUAUUACAUCAAUAAAGUUUUAGCCCAGACGGGUAACCUGGCACCUUGAUAUGUGAUUAGCUCAAAUGAGCCUCUGACGUAAAGCGUACUUGUGUUUGAAAUUCUUUUACAACAUUCAUCUGGUAAUGUAAAACAUAAGAAAAGAAAAAAUUUGCAAGUUAAGAAAUGAGGGGAAGUGAAAGAAUUAAUUAUUAUAAUUGAAGCCCGUAAUAAUGAAUGAUUUGAGAUGGAGCUGACAGGAGUGCCAUUGUAUCAUGUUGCUAUUCGAUGUAUUAUAUAUAAGGGAAUGUAGACACAUACCUUGUUGGCGUACUGCAUUGGUGGAUAGGUAAACUGUAAUUACGUAUUAAGUUAUCAUAUGAUUAUUUUGCGAGGUAAGUAAACUAUUGAAUUUGUGUGAGCUUACUAAGUAUUUAAAUGCUUACAUUUAUACUAUUUUUACCUUAUAGAUUUUGGAACAUCUAGAAUGCGUAGAUCAAACCAACAACUCACAUUAUCCACCAGACGUUGUGGUAGACUCCCGGUUUAUUUGAGUCAAUCUAAGUGGCAUGUAUAUAGUCAUUAGUUUAUUUGUAAGUAAACUUGUUACCUUAAAGGAGGUUAUUUUGAGUUUCAUGGUAUAUGAUAAUAAAUAUGAAGUUUAGUUAUAUUAUGUUUUUGUGUUUUAAGAUCCGCGGAAUCUUUUACAAUAUAGGGUAUUCGUGGAAUAAUCCGCCAUUCUUUUGGGUAUUCUUGGAAAUUGUUUUAAAUUUUAUAUCCACCUUACUCUUGAAAUAGUAACUGUGGAAUAAUCCAUAGUUUAGUCUUUUGAAAUUCUGUGCGUAGUCGAAUGAUCUGCCGGAUUGAUUUGCCACCUAUUGGUCUACGGUACAAUUCGCCACGAAUGUGUAAUGUAUGUAAAUAUUUUGUGAGUCCGUGUAAUAACCUCCUAUGGCUCGGGUUCAAUGAUCGGACCAGGCAAAACGUGUUUCAAGCCCAAUAGUCCAAACUAAGUUGUAGUGUUACAUCAUUGCAGAGUCUCAAUGUGCAUGUUUGUUUGACAAUAAAAGACAAUUCAUCACUUGAGAGUCAUGACACUUCUUGUGUAACGUCGUGACGUCGAAUGAGAUCUAGGAUGGUUUACAAAAAGGUGGCCUAACGCGAUGCUUAAGCUGCAAAGUUGCAACCCUCUCUUGAAAUCUAUUAUUAUAUUAAGGGUAAAAUUGUAAUUUGACUCACCAAAUAUCUUAGUAUAAAAGGGCCAUUUUUCAGCUAUGGAUUGGAAAGGGGCCGUAGAUAGUUUUUACUUUUACUCUUGUUUUAGCUUAGGUUUUAUUUUGUUUAAGAGCACUUUUCCAUUUCCAUACUUUGUAAUACUUUCUCCUUAGUUUAAUUUUAAGCACUUUCCCUUUUCAUUUUGGUCUUAGCUAGCUGGGAUUUUACAUUUGGAUAUCUCAAUAUUUGCAAUUUAUUGGUAUUCCUUGUUUGGAAUCCAUAGAUAGCUAAAUGUUUAUGUGACUAAUGGCAUUAUGAAGCAUGUUCGGUUGAUAAUGAAUGUCAAGUGUUUGUUAACUUUUAUACACAUAACUUACUUAUGAGUGAGGCCCUAGGUAGGAACUUAUUUAUGAAACAUUAACCCUUACUAGAAUCAUUCAAUAAGAGAAGAAUGAAUAUAACACUUUUAAUCUCACAGUUCUAAUUUAAUCGAGUUUUAAUAUUAUUAAACAAAUUAGGAAAACAAUGCACAUGGUAGUCUCCCUUGUUCUUGCCAAACCUAUCAUUUAAAUAUUAAAAACAAAGUGAAAAUUCAAAAUUUUAACAAGAAUUAUGCCACUCAUCAACUAUUAAUUGGUCCAAUAUACCUCCUUGGGUAAAGAGGUGGAUGGAAUAAAACCACUAGUACCAAAUCAAGAAAAGAAAUUAUAGAUACCAUGUUGAGGGAUGAUACUAAACUGCAUCUUAACCAUUUUUUUAAAAUAAAGUAGAAUUUAUUCUUAAAUCAUUGAUUUGGACUAACAUUAAUUAUAUGAUAUAAAACCAUAUUUUCUUCUUUUAUUGCAUAAUAAAAAAAAUUUAGUCCUUCAUCUUUACCCCUUUUGUUACUUUUGUCUUUAACUUUUUUAUUAUUUUAGCUUUAACCAUUAAAUCUAGUCAAUUUUUUAUGACAAAAUUAACUAGACUAUUAAAUUUUUAAUAGUGCCGAUGUAGCGGCUUAGAUGGUACUUCAUGUGUAUUUCAUUGUUAACUAGAUAAAUUUUUUAAAAAUAAUUUUAUGAAAAAUUUUGAAUUUUUAAAAUAAUUCUAAUGGUUCAGUAAAAUUUUUCAUAAAAAGAAAUUUAAUUAAAAUUAAAAAAAUUAAUGAACAAAGUAAAAUAAAUAAAUAUUAAGAAUUAAAUUUGUAAUAGUCACAAACAAAUCCUCACAAAUUUCUAAUUUAACAACAAUAAAAGGAAAAAGAAGAGAAAGAAAGUAAAAGCUCAAUUAUCAGUUGGGACCCCUAAAAAGAUACCUAUUUAAUUGCUUUCUUCUGUUAAUCCACCACUUCCAUUAAUUAGCUAAUUAAUCUUAAUUAUAAAAUUCAAUCACAUGUUUCAUAACAUAAAAAUUGUCAUAUUAAAAGAUUACUCAUUGUUGUGGAUAAUAAAUACCUUGAUUUUAAUUUUUUAUAUUAAUAUUUAUAAUUAAAUUGAAAUAAAAAUAUUCUAAUAUUUAAACAAUAAGUAAAAAUUUGGUCUGCUCAAAUUACAAUACAACGUUUAAUUUAUGAACAAAAUUAAUAUACGGUGAAUUAAAUUUAUUUAAAAACAAAAGAAAUAAUUGUUUUGAUAUAAAAAAAAAAGUUAACCCAAUUUUCUUUUUAGCUUAAAUACCUCUCAAAUUCAAAAGUUUGAAAAAUCUGAAGCAAAAUAGUGCUCAUGGCAUAGAAUAUCUUAGCUAUGGUAUAUGGAUUGCCACCAAAUUCAAGAAGGUAUUUUAUUGGAUAUGAUAUCUAAGAGAGAAAUAGUUUACACAAACUGAUGAUUCACAUGCAAUAACAAAUUGAUUAUUAUCAUCAAUAUGACAUCAAUUUAUGAUAUAAUUAAGCUGCUUUGGUAGCUUUAAUCAUUGUUAUGUCUAGCUGUUUAGGGUUGACAAUAAUAAAGAAAUCAAUAUAAAUAAUCAGCUGUCACUUUUUAUUGUAGUUUAUUACUAGGAUCUUUUCAUCAACUCUUAGAGUAAUUGAAAAGGAAAUCCAAAAACCAAGAAUCAGCCGUUCAAUUGCCACUCUCUAUUUGCAUAUAUGAAGGAAGAAACUAGAAAUGGUAUAUAUAGUUUUAGAUGCUGUAGAGAUUAUCCAACUAUCUCUAGAGCCAUUAAAGAUGGUGUGCAGUUGGGAAUUACGUGAUAAUUACAGCAAGAGAGAUAGAGAGGGACUCCUGUCGCAGGAGAGAUGGCGCCUACUACCAUCAAUGAGCCAUUGUUGUUCCAUUAUUGAGUUGGUAAGCUUCAUCUCUCCUCGACUGAAGUCCUUUUCAAUUUCUUCCCAAGAUGACUUUACUAUGCUUAAAUUGCUUUGAAAUUUGUUCAUUAGAGGUAAGCACUUUCUUUCUAUUUUAUAUUAUUCAAAUUUCAAAUCAAUUUAGUUCAAUUUUAAUUGUUUUUAAUUAAAUUUUAAAUUCGAAUUUAGUUAUUUGAACUCAACUUUUAACUCUCGAGAUUUAGUUUAUAAUGAAUUUUAAUUAAAUUAUAUAUCAUAUUCAAAUUAAAAAAUCAGUUAAUUUCUCUUAGCACACCUAGAAGAUUAUAUUGUUAUAUAUCAUAUAAGUGUAUAUUAGUAUUAUCAAAAUGAAUUUAAUACUUAGGCUAUCAUUCUUAAAAUGUUACCUUUAAUAAUUACGUCUGAAUGUUGGCAUUUGUCUUUCUUUAUCCUUACACUUUCAUUGUUGAAACUAUUUUUUUUAAACGGGAAUCGACUUUGUUUGAAAAUGAAAAUUAAAAAAUGGGAGUCGCCACCGAACUUUAUUAGGUAUGAUCGGAUUACUUUUGCUUUAAUAAAACGUUUUAGUUUACUAAAACUGUGUUUUGGUCUACGAAACUCGAGAGAACGGGUUCGGGAUUCCGUUACGUGCAAGGAAGGAUUAGCACCCUCAUUACGCCCAAAAUUGGUACCGAAUUAAUUAGUCAAUGUCUUAAUGUUGAAAGUUGAAGAUCGGGAAUGGAUUUAAAAUACGAUCCUUUUUUAUUAACGUCGAUUUUAAAAAUGCUUGAGUUAGACCAAAACGAUUGCUAAAGAUUUCCUUGUCUCAAGAUAUCGGAGUGUCACAUCCCAUAAGUUAGGAUGCGAUACCAUGAACUCUCGAGCGCAAGUUUAUCUUUAAUUUUAAUUGAAUUUCAUGUGUUUUGAAACUUAAAAGGAUAUUUGGCCAUUUAGGUUUAACGAGAAAACCGAAACCCGGUAAGUUAGGGCACGAUUCCUCGAAUUUCGUAAAAUGCAAAAUAUUGCCUUAUUUAGAAAAUUUUCUUUUUGAAAUAUAGCGAAUAUGAUAUUUAACUACAUAAAUUUAUUUUGUUUGGAAUAAAAUCAAGCGACCCAAGUUGAAUAAAUACGUUGGCUUAAUGUACGAUAUGAUUUAAACUAGAUAAAACAAAAAUAUAACAUAAAGCAUGGAAUAAUACAACACGGAUACAAUAUUAUAAAAGCAAAUGACAAUAAUAUGAAAAUACGAAUGAACGAAUUAUAAUACAAUGGAAAAAAUCACACAACACAUAUUAUUUAGAAAUCCACAAUAAUAAUCAAAAGAAUGAAAUAAAUAACAUAAUGCCAUUUAAAAUAAAUAAUGAAACAAUUUUAAAUAAGUAAUUCAUAAAAAAAGAGCUUUAAAAUAGAUAUUAUAAAAAAAACAAUUUUAAGGGAAUAGUAUAAUACAAUCUAAAAUAAUUAAUGCACAAAAUAAUUCAAAAUAAAAUAAUGCAACUUAAAAUGAAUAACAUAUAACAAUUUAAAAGAAAACAUAGAAAGUCUAAAAUAAAUAAUAUGUGAAAAAUAAAUUUAAAGUAAAUAAUAUAUAUAAAAAAUAUAUAAAACAAUUUAAUGUAAGUAAUAUAUGAAAUGUUAAAAUAAAUAUUGAAAAAAGGUUUACAAUAAAUAAUAAAAGAAUUUAAAAUAUUUUAUAUAACUAAUAUAUAAAAAUUUAAAAUGGGUUAUAAUUUGAAAUGGUUUAAAAUACACAAUUUGCAAAAAAAAAAACUUAAAGUAAAUAAUAAUAGAACGAUUUAAAAUGGGUGAUAUAAAAAACUUAGAAUAAAUAAUAGUUACAAACAGUUUUAUUAAAAAGAAUAAAUAAAGAAAAAAAGAAAUGAACAAAAAUGAUUAGAGACAAGAUUGAAAUCGAACUCAAACUUAGGGUACAAAUUGAAAAUAAAAAAUUAAAAAAAAACUAAAGAGAAUUAAAAUGAGAUGCGCUGAAACAAGUGGGGGAUUAAACGGAGAAAUAGUCCAAUUUUAGGACAUGCGUUCCUUCCCCAGCUUGGAAUACUCGGGACUAAAUCGAAACAUGCGAGAGGUAUUUGGGCAAAAUUUAAAAGAAAAUAAAAUGUAAGUAAAAGGACUAAAUUACAGCGUCCUGCGAAGGUAGAGGGACCAAAGGGAUAAAUAUCCCAAAAGGGCAAAACCCGCGGAUCCCCUCUGGAGCGGAGCGGGUCGCGCGCGGGUAUGCUAAAAAUGACGUCGUUUCGGCAUUGGUGUCCCAGGUGCAAAACGGCACCGUUUUACCUUAUUAUUUAAGUUAAAAAAUUUUAUUUUUUCAUUUGCUUCUUUUUCUUUUAAAAAAAAUAAGAGAGAACACCCCUCUCUUCUCCCUAUUUUCUCGGUUAGGGUUUCAAAAACCCAUUUUGCACCGUCGCCAUGCCUACCGGUCGAGAGAAGAGAGUUUCUCUCCUCCCCUUUUGGGUUUGAUUUCGGUAACGGAGAGAGGGUCUCUGGCGACACGACCACGGGGGAUUUCGGGUAAGUCUUCCCCUCUUCCUUUUUUAUUUUAUUCUUUUAUUCAAAACCGAUUUGAAAUAGAAAUAAGAAAAUAGGAAAUCGAAAAGAAAAAAAGAAAGCGAAAUCAACCUCUUUUUAACUUCUGUUUUUGUUAUUUUAUUUCUUGAUGGUGUGUAAAAACUUACAAAGGGAUCGAAUGUGGCUUUUAUAGCCGAAUACACGCUCGUUUUUGUUUCUAUUCUUUGUCUGUUUCUUCAUUGUUUUUUCUUUUUUGUUUGCUAUCGUUUUUUGUCUUCUUGUUUGUUGUUUUCUUUUGCUUACGUGUUGGUCUCGUUUUGCAGGUGACGUGAACGGCCAGACGCAUGCGAGGAGGCGUGCAGCUGCCAAGGCUGAAGGGGGCAUGUGGCGGCUGAAGCUUGCAAGGGCUAGGGUUGCUGAAAUGUUUUGUGUAGUUGGGCUAGGGUUUCUAGACUUUUAGGCUUGUUGGGCUUGUUGGGUUUGGGUAGUUUAGGCCUAGGUUUAAUAUGUAAAUGGGUAUUUAUUGGACUGUAAAAAUAUUUGGAAUUUGGUUUAUUUAUUUGGUUUUUAUUUUAUAAUUUGGCCAGGCCAAAAUUGGCCCAUUACAGCUGCCCCUCUUUGCUCAUUGUCGUGUAAUGAGAAUGGAGCAAAACUUCAAAAGGGCCAAUUUUACCUAGUCUUGUCGAAACUUGAUUUCUUUGGUAUUUCUCUUUCUCAAAUAGUAUCAUACCAUUCCACUGCAACUUCAAGGGUAUAAGGAUUAGGGUUUCUCUCCACUCUACUGUAGCUUCAAAGAGACUAGACUUGUAGCUUCAACUUGCUCCACUGCACUUCAGAGAGACAAGAUUUGCGGCUUCAAUCUGCUCCACUACAACUUCAGGGAGAUAAGAUUCACCAUGAUAAUUUCGAUCCGUCCCACUGCAACUUCAGGGGUAUAAGACUUAUGGCUUUAAUCUGUCCACUAUUGCUUAGGGAGACAAGAUUUGCCAUGGUCAGCCUACUCCACUACUACUAAGGGAGAUAGGAUGGUGGCUUAAAUCUGUUCCACUACUGCUUAAGGGGACAAGAUUUGCCGUCUUGGAUCUGCUCCACUACUGCUUAGGGAGAUAGGAUGGUGGCUUAAAUCUGCUCCACUAUUGCUUAGGGAGACAAGAUUUGCCAUCUUCGAUCUGCUCUACUACUGCUUAGGGAGAUAAGAUCUACAAUCUUCAGCCUACUCCGCUACUGCUUAGGGAGAUAGGAUGGUGGCUUAAAUUUGCUCCACUACUGCUUAGGGAGACAAAAUUUGCCAUCUUCGAUCUGCUCCACUAUUUCUUAGGGAGAUAAGAUCUACAAUCUUCAGCCUACUCCACUACUGCUUAGGGAGAUAGGAUGGUGCCUUAAAUCUACUCCAUUACUGCUUAGGGAGACAAGAUUUGCCGUCUUUGAUCUGCUCCACUACUGCUUAGGGAGAUAAGAUCUACAAUCUUCAGCCUACUCCACUACUACUUAGGGAGAUAGGAUGGUGGCUUAAAUCUACUCCACUACUGCUUAGGGAGACACGAUUUGUCUUCUUCGAUCUACUCCACUACUGCUUAGGGAGAUAAGAUCUACAAUCUCCAACCUACUCCACUACCGCUUAGGGAGAUAGGAUGGUGGCUUAAAUCUACUCCACUACUGCUUAGGGAGACAAGAUUCGCCGUUUUCGAUCUGCUCUACUGCAACUUCAGGGGGACAAGAUCUACAAUCUUCAGCCUACUCCACUACUGCUUUAGGGAGAUAGGAUGGUGGCUUAAAUCUGCUCCACUACUGCUUAGGGAGACAAAAUUUGUCGUCUUCGAUCUGCUCCACUACUGCUUAGAAAGAUAAGAUCUACAAUCUUCAGCCUACUCCACUACUGUUUAGGGAGAUAGGAUGGUGGCUUAAAUCUGCUCCACUGCUGCUUAGGAAGACAAGAUUCGCCGUCUUUGAUCUGCUCCACUGUAACUUCAGGGAGACAAGAUCUACAAUCUUCAGCCUACUCCACUACUGCUUUAGGGAGAUAGGAUGGUGGCUUAAAUCUGCUCCACUACUGCUUAGGGAGACAAGAUUUGUCGUCUUCGAUCUGCUCCACUACUGCUUAGGAAGAUAAGAUCUGUGAAUUUACCGAUGUUACUACACCGUCCUCUAGGGACAUGGUCUAUAGAAUUGGAUUUAUGUACCUAUACUUAUGCCAAAUGAUUAGGAUGUUAUGAUCAAAAUGAAUCAAAUGCUCCUAACUAGAUGGGUUAUGAAUGAUCUAUGAAUGCAGAAAUGAGAAUGAUCCUUUUUUAAAUGCUUAAGGUAUCAUCGCUCGUUGUUCAUCAGGGCAUUAUCACUGACAUAUUAAGCUGCCAUCUUGUUCGGUUAAUAUUCUUGACAGAAAAGUCAAAGAAACAAUCACAUUCUACUCAACAAGCUUGCCUCGCUGUAAUUUCAAAGUCCCUUCCACUAUACCUUCUCAGACAUAAAGUUUGUACCUCCCACUGCAACUUCAGGGGAAUAAGGUUCACUAUCUAUCCUGCUGCAACUUAGAGGUAUAGGAUUUGUAUCAUCUUCAAUCAAUUUGAUCUGUUACAUCAUUCCCUGGGUGUAAUGACCAGAUGUAUACGCCUGAUAGUUGCAUGAACACAGAGUAUCGUUUUUCUUUUCCCGAGAAUGAUCCCCUUUUAUACUUGGGUUGGCAUUGCUCGUUAUUUUUUGAGGUCGCGUCACCGAAACAAUACCUUAAUUUUUUUGUGCAAUGAUAUCUUUAACAAAGAAUCUGGAGAGAUAGCCACAAUUUUAGACUCCUCUCUCUCAAAUAUUUCCAACCCUUAGGUUUGGUGAGUUCUAAAUAAUGGUCAUGUUUCAAGUUCCUAUACUAUUUAGAAGCUUCCAGAGUAAUAUGCAGAACUUCUUUUGUGAAAGUAUUAUUGGUCUAUCAAUCGUUAUUUCAAUGCAAAAUGCUUGAAAAAAAUCAUAACAAUAGACCAGAAGAAAAUUAAUCAGGAGCAUAGCUCGAAGCAAGUAAGUUAAUAUAGGAUAGCAAAUGCAAUUAAGAAGGAAAUUUAUUGGGACGUAUCUUGAAAAGAAUAAGGUAAUCAAAGAUAAAAAAUUCAAAAUGGGUAAAAUGGGAAACUAGGUGCCCCAGAUAUCGUAGCUUGAGCUUCUCUAUACCAACUUCUUGAGGAACAUUUUGAGCUCAAUCUGUGUUUAGGGGAUCCGAAGUACUUUGUCGAUGCCCCAAAAUGUAACAUACUUCUUCAUUGUUAAUUCAUGCAUAGCAAGACUACUGUAUGCCCUACUUUGAUCCAAAUUUGAGCCGCCUUUCCAGGUUUUCAACUCAAAUCCCCUUUGGUCUCAAAGUGCCCUUUGCGGGUUUUCGCCUCGGCCUCUCCUUUUUCUCUUUUUUUUGUGAAGUAUUUUUUUGAUUGAAUCCAAAGUCACAAGAUUAGGAAGGUUCUUGCCAUCACUUUGGUCAGUAUCAACGCUCUUCUAGAGGAGGCCUUCUUUACCAUAUAAGGUCCUUUCCAGUUUGGCGUACACUUUCUUUUAAAGUCCUUUUUGUAUAGGAAAGACCUUUUUCAAUACUAGUUUUCCCUUUUGAGAUGAACCUUUUUGUUAUUUACUCAUGGUAGAUAGCUUUCAACCUUAUUUCUUUGAUCAAAUUCAACUGAUCACAUCAAAAUUGGAUCCAUUUAGCUUCGUAUAACUUUGGCUCUGACAAGACUCAAAGAAAAGGAAUCUCGACUUUAAUGGGCAAAAUCGCUUCCAUUCCAUAAACUAAUGAGAAAUGUAUUGCCCCGAUGAAGAUCUUGACCGACAUUUAAUAAGUAUAAAAGGUAAAUGGUAACUUCUUUAGCCAAUCUUUACAAGUUUCGAUUAUCUUCCUUAAUUUUUUUCUGCCUUUGCUGCACUGUGAUAUGGUGUCUGAUAUUUGAAUAGACUGCAAACUUUUGACAUUGUGAGGUUGUGCAUUGUUAGACAUGAUCCUUUUUGGCAUUCUUUGCCGGUACUUGAUCUCUUUCCCUCUUUUUUUAUUUUUGUUUGUUUUUUUUUUUGAAUUUGAUAACUGUCGACCUUGUAACAUUGGCAUAUGAAGCUACCUUCACCCUCUUAGUGAAUUAAUCGACGACCACAAAGAUGAAUCGAUGUUGGCCAGAAGCUUUUGAUGAGAUCAGCUCUAUAACAUCCAUGCUUCACAUGGAAAAAUCUGUGAAGAAAUGGAGGAGGCACAAAAGUCUUGUCUUCCUCAAUCCGGCAUUUAUGGUAUAACUGAUGCAAUCCCCUUCCAUGGUGGACCAGCAGUACCUGAACCUCAUGAUUAGUCUGGCCAUCGAAAAACCAUUAUCAUGUACUUUUCGAACACCCGAUAGCAUCCUCACAUCUUAGUAGCUUAGGAAUAUCUUGAUGCGAUCAUGCGAAAACAUCUUUGAAUUGGGAAUAACUCAAUGAUGUCUCACGUUGUCUUUGUGGUGAGCUAGGCUUUGAUCUUCACUUCUUUCCUAGGCUUGUAAUGCCACUGACCCUUUUCAUAGUAGGAUCUGUUUGUCAUCUUGUUCUACCAUCCUUGACAAAUCAGGAGAUAGACUGCAAUCUCUAUCAUCUUCAAGGUCUUGAGAUCCCUCUAGACACAUAUCUUUCUUAAAAGGAGACUCGGAGUUAGUGAUAGCGUCACUCACGUCAUUGAUAUCUGGGGACCUAUUGCAGGUACGAAGGCAGAUUCCAAAGAAUAAAUGGUUCUAAGGAUGAUUAUUUGUAUGGUAUAAUCAGAAUGAAGAAUAAAAGAAUAUUUGAGAUAAAAUUCAAAGAACGAAAGAAUCUAAGAAUAAUUAUCUAAAUGAAAUGAAAAAAAUAAAGAAUAUUUGCUCAAAAUGAUAGCAAAGAUGUGUUUUAUUAAAAUGAAUAUUUUGGACAUAAGCCUAUUUCACAAAAGGCCUCUUAUUGUUUCUAGGCUUAGAGCAAUAGGCGUGUUCUGAACUUACUUUAAAUUAGCUCUAAAAAUACAAAGAUCUCUUCUACAGUUCCAUUACUCAAAACACCCUAAGUGUGUAAGGGUAGAAGCUUGGAAAAGUCUAUUCCCCGAUUCCUUCUUCGAAUAUGUCGUUAAUGUUCAGAUUCCCCAAUAUUAGGUUUUCCACUAGAGUCCUGAGCUCGACGCAUCCUUAGAUCUCAUGCCCCUAUCCAUCAUGGAACUCAUAAUGUUUACCCCUUUAACAGAAAGGUUGGGUAAUAGAUUUUCUGCACCAGAGGGAUCAUCGAAUUUUACGAUACCCAAAUUGAUGAGUCUUUCGAUCAUUUUUUUAAAAGCGACAUAGUUCUCGAUCGAAUGCACUGUGAUCCCCCCAUGGUAUUCGCAUUGGCUGCUUGUAUCGUACUAUUUAGGGUAUGGAGGCUAUAUUGGUUCUACGUAGAAAGGGGAUACAACAUGCACGUCAAACAAAAUUUGGUACAACUCCCCAUAUGUGAUUGGGAUGGGUGCGAACUGAGGUUUUUCUGAGUUCAGUCUUGGAUUGGGUUCUUGGCUUGGGGAAACCUGAUGGCUGGUAGUUAUUGUCAUUGGCUGGCUUACUGUAAUCAGCUCCAAAUGGCCCUUGCUAUACCUACUCUUAUUAUUCACUUCUUUUUUCUUCUUCUUCGGGGCCUUUAAAGUUCACUCUCCCCUUUCAUUUGUUUCUGCCAGAACAACAGGUUUGGCUCGAUCAUCCUCUAGGUUAAAACCUGAACCCAUCGUGAAGUUUAACAGUGUUGAGGUACCAAUCUGAUAUUGGGGUCUGAUAAUAAGGGGUACCCCUUGUGGAUACGCGUCUGGUCGAGUCAGGACGCUUAUUGGAGUAAAACCUGGGGAAUAGAUGAGGUCUUCAUUAUCAUCCCCACAGUUGACCACUGGGCUACUUAUUUUUUCAAUUUUUCCUGCCAGUAACUGGGUUAACUGGCCUAUCAUAUUUCUUUGGAAUUCUAGCAUUUUUUCUCUCUAACCUUUGGUCCAUGUCUUUUGUCGAUUUUGAAAUAAUUUUACCUAAUUAGGGUGGGUCCUUUUUGGAAAAUUUAAUGCAUAUGAUAAAAUGCAAUGCAAAUGCAAAGAUGCAUGCAAAAAGAAAGAGAGGCGUUGAUUCUGAAUUCAAUUCCAUUAGAACAACUUUUUUAGAAAGCAAAUUUCUUUACAUAAAACGGAUUACAUAUGCGGCUUUGUCAUCAUAUUUCAAGUGAAGACACUGAUCUUUUUCUUUAAAUCCGAGUGUUAUGGUCAAAUCUUGCAAAUUUUCCAAAAGAUGCCUUUAUUAUCUCCUUUUUGCUUGAUCUAGGCCACGACUCAUUGUUCACUUAUCCCGCGAUACACGUUAGCUCCUUUAAGAAAGUAAAGACGUGACGGCUCUUGAUCAAUCUUCGUCGGCUUGAAUCCUUGGGCAAUGAAGCAAAGUUUUGUAUCACUCCGCAGACUAUCAGCCUUCUUUCGUUGUGUCUGAUUGAGCCAUAUUUAGACGGCCGUAUCAUAUUCCAUUUUAUCAAGGAAUCCAUUCUCCAUGACAAGCUUUUCUAUUUAGCAAUCGAAUGUGAAUCAACACCUUCUUUCUAUGAUGAAAAUGCAAUGCAAUUAAAAUAAAAAAAACAUGUUAGCACAGGAGAAAUAAACAAAAUAGAGUACAUAUCCGGGUGACCACUUGGGGUUCGGAGUGGUUCUAUCUAAGGCUGGCUCUUAAGGCUCAUUAUAUGUGGUUUGGUUCUAAAGAAAAGGGUACCUGAACUAACUGAUUCCUCGAUCUUCACCCAUUAUAGGCUCAUAUGGAUCGAGUUCAGUUCAGGGGAAUACAUUUCCCUAUGGCCAUGCGGAGAUGAAAAUCUCAAGAAGACAUAGGUACGGAUGUAUCCCAAAAGCGAUCCACUAUCCCAUGUGGAAGUGAAAACUUCACGAAGGACUAGUUUCUCACUCCCAUUUAAAAGGGUAAGAUCAACCGAUCAUGCAAUGAAAUGUGCAAAAAGAUACCAAAAUUUAAAUCAACACAGUAAUUAUAAACCAUAAUGAUGAAGAUCGUAACAAAGACGAAUGAAAUGCAACGAAAGGAUCGUACAUUUAAACCAAAUUUUCAAUUUUCGACAAAAGGACAAAAUUAACCAACUUAUGGCUCGACUCUCAAAGUCCCCAAUGGAGUCGCCAAGCUGUUGAAACCAUUUUUUUUAAACGGGAAUCGACUUUGUUUGAAAAUGAAAAUUAAAACGGGAGUCGCCAUUGAUCUUUAUUAGGUGUGAUCAG